rnacentral:lncRNA from 1 species
AGUUUUCACCUUAAAGCUAUAUUUUUUAUCAAUAAAGAAUUCAAAAAAUUUAAGGACAUUGUUCUUUAAUCCAAGUGUCCAUCUUUGAUUAGAAUAGACUUUCAGGGAAUGUAAUGUAGGUCAAAGUUUGAGGUUCUAAAAAAAAAAGAUAAAUAAGCUCAAAAUAUGUUAUUCAGGGUAAUUAGGCCAAGGAUCCUAAGAAGCAUUCUCUGGCGUUCUUUCUUUGGCUUUCUUUUUUUAAAAAAAAAAAAAUAUCUAGCUUUAGAUUCAACAAUUUUAUUCACUUUUUUUUGCCCUAAAUUCUUAUUUUCAAGGUACAUGCUCUUUUUUUUUUUUUGCUUUUUUUGUUUUUUUUUUGUUUUUUUUAAUUCUAACUAAAGCUUCAGAUUCUUAUCUCUAAGGUUUAUUUAUUUUUCCUUGAAAAUGCCUAACUUCAUCUUUGGUUGUUCUCUCUCUUGAAUUCUUGAGAUUCUAAUUGAAGCAUUAUUCACUUUUUGUCCCGAACUUUCAUCUUUGAAAGGCAUGUUAGACGCUUUCAAUAUUGGAUACUUUUUUUGAAAUUGAUCUUGAAUAUAUCCUUAUUUUGCCCUCAAUUUAAAUGAUGAUCCUUGGCUAGGGUUUAUUUUGGAAUAAAAAUUUAGUAGGCUCAAAUGAAUAGCAAAUGAAUAAUUUUUAUGUACGAGAAGGAUAGAGAAAGAUGGACAUUCAUUAUUUCAACAUGAUCACUUGGUUAGAAGAGCAAAUAAUUGAAGAUGUCUUUUUGGUUUUUUUGUUUUUUUUUAUGUUUUUUUACCUUUUUUUUGCUUUUUUUAUUUUUUUUUAUGAUGCCCCAUUUUGUUUUCCACUCAAGGUUCUAAUGAUGAUCAAGUCGUAUAGGAUCGAUCACAUAUUUCAAAAAGGCUCUUUAGGCUCUAAUUUUUUUAUUUUCUUGGUGAACGAAAGAGAAAAAGUAUAAAGGUAUGAAACAAAUUGUCCUAGGCAAAAAAAGAGUAUUUUUUUAAUCAAUGUGCUUUAAGACACGAAAUAAGGGUUACUUAAAAAAUAAGGUUUAGGUAUUUUUAUGUCUAUGGUUAUAGCAAAAUUUUGACACACAUUGAAUUAUCAAUUAAAAAUUUGAAAGCGUAUUUGAUUUUUGAAAUUCAAAAUGAACUUUCAAAAUUAACCUCUUUCAUUUUUUGCCCAAGAAAAGUUAUAGAACCUUUAAAAUAUGAAUUCAAACUCACAAUCCUUAAAGGGUUAUGGUUGAUAAGUCCAAUCAUUUAAGUGAUUAGAGGCAUAAAAGUAUUUGAAAAGGUGUGAAGGUAAUUUAUGCACUUUUUCCUAAUAGUAAUCACAAUUUCUUUCAAGAAUCCUUUCAUUUUUAUUACAAAAGAAAACCCAUUUUUCUUUUUUUCCUCUUUUUUUUUGUUUUUUGGUUUUUUUUUUUUUUAAGUUACUUAUAUGGGAUUUUUUAUUCAAACAAAUGCAUGAGAAAUUUUCAUGAAAAAGAUCCAAAGUAUUCAAUUCUUCCAAAAUAAGUUAAAUAACUCAUAGGAACACCAUGCAUAUGUCAUACAUAAAUAGUAAAAAGAUUCAAAAAAAAAUUAUCUUAUCUUAAUUUUUCAAAACUCGAGACCUCUUUCUUCAUCUCAACUCCACAUAUUUGGUAAUUGAAUGGGGUUAACUUUUGAAGUCAGAAUACCACUCUUGAUAAGAUCUUCAACCUUUUUUCAGCUGUCUGUAUUUUUCAGUUGAAUGACCAAUUGCCUUCAUAUGACAAUCACAUUUGCUAUUAGGAUCAUAACUUUUUACUGAUAGAUUUAGUGUUAUUUUUAAAGGCACAUAAAUGAGAUACCAACCUUCUAUUAGUAAAGGUAAGAGGUGAGAAACAAGGAUUAACAGUUUUUCUCAAUCACUCUUUCGUUUCUUUCGACUUUUGUUAGUUAGAUGUUAGGUUCAAAUAUAAGGACAAAAUCAUGAAUAAUCAUUUAAGGAUGAAAAUUUGCUAAAAAACCCCAAAUGCUGGCUUGGUUGGCAAAAAUAUGGGUUCUGAGAUAUACCACCUAUGACAAGGUGACGAGGCUGAUGAGAUGGAUAUAGAUUGUACAAGGUAAAACUAUUGGGUAGAUGCCCUUCCAUUAUGACUGCUUGCACCUUUCUUUCAUUCUUUUUUUAUAUACUUCUUUUUUCAACAUCUGUCAUGUCUUUUAAUUUAAUCAUGCCAUUCUUUAUUGUAUUUUUUAUAAUUUUUCCAGAAAUCACCAUGUCAGGAAAAGUUUUUGGAGACAUCCCAAUCAUUUUUUCAUAAUAGGGAGCGUUCAAAGAAUUGACAAACAAAACAACGAUUUUUUUCUCUAACAAGGGUGGUUGUACUUGGGCUGCUAUGUCUCUUUAUCUAUGUGCAUAUUUUUUGAAAGUUUUAGUUGACUUUUUCUUCAUGUUCUGUAGGGAUAACCUAUCUGGCACUAUAUCUUUAACAUGCUUAUAUUAUGCUAGAAAAUCUCUAGCCAAAUCAUUCUAAAAGCAAAUCUUAUUUUGAUCUAACUAAGUAUACCAUCUUACUACAGACCUAGUGAAACUAUCUUAAAAGUAAUGGAUCAAUAACUUAUCAUUAUGGGUGUGACCUAUCAUCUUUCAAUAGUACAUAGUAAUGUAUGUUAAAGGGCAUUUUAUCCUAUCAUACUUCUCAAAAUCUGGGGCUUUAAACUUUAUCGAAAUAACAAGAUCAGGUACUAAAGUAAGCUCAUUAGCAUUAACACUCAGGUACAUAUCAUGGCCUUCAACUACUUUCAGUCUUUUUUUUCACAAAUCAUAUUUAUCCUUCAUUAUUGUAUCUCUUGAUGGAUCUGACAUCUUUUUUAAUUUCUUUAAUUCUUUAAGAUCAUCCACAUUAGGCACAGCAAUGGAGUCGUAACGAGUAGGCUUGAGAUUAACAUUUGUCUAAACUAAUGACAACUUGGCAAAAGGGCAAGUAUAGGGUUGAUGAGUUGUUAGAUGUGCUUAUGGUAUAUGGUGGUCUUGAACAUAUAUGAACUCAAAUGGAUAUAAUGUUGUCUCAAUAACUGUUUCCUCAUUUGCCCCAUGUGUUUCAACAAUUCAUUUUUCUUAUGUCAACUCUACUAACAUUUGUUUUAAUUCUACCAACUGUUUGUCCAUGUUCUGUUGCAUUCCUGUGACUAUUUCUUUGAUCUCUCUUUGGGCAUUUUCUACUCUAUCCAUCUGACUUGCAUUUUUAUUUUUCAUGAUUCUAAUACUGGCUUGAGUGCUAUAAAUACGCAGACUUAAUCGAUCUUAUUUCUUAGGAUAGUUAUCUUUGAACAUUUUAUUAAUUACCAGAAGUCAAAAAUGUAUGGUAUGAAUUCUAUUAUAAAUUUUUUUUUUUUUUUGCUUCAAAGGUUUGACGAAAGUAUAUUUACAAUUACCAUUCAUUAUCCUUAGCUAGCAUGAAAAGCAAUGAAUUCAAACAAAUGAUGCAUGAUAUGCAAGUUAGAUUUUGUUAUUAUUAUUGAAGGGAAACUUAAGCUCUAUCCUAUAUUCAGGGUGGGUUAUCUAAAGAUAUUUCUUCCACCUCAAAAAUUUGGUAAAGGCAUAUUUGCAACUAUCAUUCUUUCUCACACUCUUUUAGGCACACCAUUAUUAAAAAAAAAAAAAAAAGGCAUCAAUUCAUAGAAAGUUCAGGUUAAAAAAGUUUUCAUUCAUUCUCAAAAGUUUCAAGUUUACACAUUAUGAACCAUUCUAUGGUUAAGGUCAAAAAGUGUAAGAUCCGCUCUCACUCCCUAUUGUCUCAUCUAAAAAAUCCAAAAAUAGCUUAUUAUGAUUGCUGAAAAAGAUAACCCUUUUAUUUAAAACUUUUACAUUUUAUUCAUCAUCAAGGCUAACCUUACUGUUGCUUGUAGCACUGUCUACUAUCUUGGCAUAGAUCAAUGAAAGGUUCUUAUGAAUAACUGGCUUCAUUUUAACGUCAAAACCUAAAUAUCUAACUUUUAUCAGUCCAUGUACCUUAUGUUUCAAAGCUAUGCAAUCUUUCAGAGCAUGGCCCAUAACACCAAGAUGGUAUUCACAUUAAGUACUGGGGUAAUACCAUUUGAGAAAAGGUCGUUUGCAAGGUUCAGAAAGGAUAAAGACAAUGAGAUAAUUUUUUAAGAGUAAUGGGUAUAACUUUAUGUAGAACAUAGGUAUUGGAUCAACAAGGGUUUUUUUUUUAUGUUGUCAGAGUUUUUUUAUCUUAUGGUUGGUUUGCUUUGCUGAAAAAAUAGUAGUAAAUUUGGUCUUGAAGUGAAUUGAAAAACUAUAGGUCGAAUAUUAUGCUAUGAAAGUGGUGAUAGGAUAACAUGUUGAACAAACGAUUAUGAAAUAUAAGGUGGUAGAAAUGGCUUUAAGUGUGAAAUUCUCAGAGGUUACAUAAAAUUUAAGGGCCUAAUCCUAGGUGCUUGGAAAGGAGGUUGAAAGUGGUCAUGAGAAUGACUUAAAUGUGGGUUUGGACUCGAGAUAACUGGUGAGGGUUGGUUGAAGUUAGGUGACUCCUUCUUGAAAAUUAAACUUUUGAGCUCAAUCAUUUGCAUGACUGUUUCACCCAUUCCUCUCUUAAGUUCGCCUAAACUUUUAUUACUGUUCAAAUCACCCAAUGCCUUAAUAUGCUCUGGAAAAAUGCUGGAGCUAAUAGGAGCCGGUUGGUUUUGGCUUAAUGGAAUCAAAAGUGACAACAAUCCUUGAAGAGCAACAAACCUAACCCCACCACUAUCUUUAACCAUUUCUAUCAAUUAAGUCAUCUGUUGUUUUAUUUUUCAAAGCUUAAGCCAUAAUUCCUCUUGAUUCAACUCCAAAACACUAAUAUUUACUUUCAAUUGAUCUCUCAUUUUCGUCACCACUAAGAUAGACAUUUUAUUUCAGGACUUAAACCAAAAAUUCUAGAUUAUUACCCUUAUUGAAUGAAUACUACAAAAACAAUUUCUAAAUUAUAUGACACACAAAGUAUGAUUAUGAAUUCAUGAAUAUGAUGACUAAAAAAUGUCAUGAAAUGCAUAUAUGCCUAUGAUAAUAGAUUUUUAUAUGUACAAAGACCCAAAUGAAAAUUUUUGUUAACCAUGAAUAUGUAUGCAAGGAAUGUAAUGUUAUGUUAUAGGGAUGGUGGGCUAUGAAAUGUAAUGUAUGUUCCAUAAGACCUUACUAUUCAUGAACCCAUAUGCAUGAAAUGCAAUAACAUACUUACAUGAAGAAUAAUAUGUAUACUUAUGACUAAUGCAACAUACUUGUAUGGAAUGCAUGAACCUAUCAAAUGCACAUUAUAUUUUUCAUGGAAUGCAAUGCUUGUGUUAUGCCAACCUAAUGAAACUGACACUACUUUUAAAUAUAUAAUGAAAUGGAAUGUGGGCACUACCUAUUAAAAUGUGUAUGGAAGGUAUAUACUAUUUAUCAACAUGUGCAUAACAUGAGAUGCAUGUACUAUCCAUUGAUAUGGAUAAGAUGCAAUGCAUGUAUUAUCUUAUUAUCAUGAUAAUGGGAUGGGGUACAUCAAAGACCAAAUGAAAAUGUGAAAAAUGAAAAAAAAAAAAUUGAGAAUGAAAAACACCUUUUUGACACAGAAUAACUAGGACUUGAAAAUUAAUCUUUAUUUGGCCAAUAAACAAAGAAUUUGAAAAAACCCUUUAAUCUUUGAAAAUGUUUUAUUGCCUUUCUUUUUUUUUUUUUUUUUUGCUUGUAGGAUAAUGCUAAAAAUAAUUCAUUUUAUUCUAAAAUAUUUUAUGAAAAUUUAAAUUUUGGAUAAUUACCAAAGGAAUGAAAUACAUGUCCAAAGAAAAAAAAAAUCUUUAAGAAAGUGUUUUUCUCUUAUUUCUACAAGAGAGUAAUGCUCUGUCGAAUACUGGUCCCCUAAGGUUUACUAUAUGCUAAGUGAGGAUUUGUUUAUCUAAAAGUUUUCAAAUUGUUCCUCACUGACGUCCAUACUGGACUAGUAAGACACCCAGAUCCUCACCCAUUACAGGCUAUGAACGAAAAGUGUUCAAUUUAAGUAAAAGUUUUUCACUAGCAAAUACAGAGGUUAUCACCUCACGAGAGCGUAGCUACUUCACUUCCUUCUAAAAAGAUGAAGCCCGGAUCUAAAGCUCAUGCAUACAAGUGAAUAUACAAGGUGUGUGCAAAGUAAUGUAUUCAUUAAAAUAACAUAAAUAAAAUCCUAAACACAUAAUCAAAAUAAAAUAAUAACUAACAUACAAUUUAUUUUAUUUAUUAACUUGUAUGUAUAUAUAUUUUGAAAAAUAAAGGGAAUUAAAUUAAAUAUCAAAUAAAACCAAUUAAAUUCAACAACUAUUAAUAGCGCAUAAUUAAAAUUUUAGCCUGACUCUCAAAGAUCCCUAGUAGAGUCGCCAAGCUGUCGUAAAAGUUUUGAGACUGUCAAACAUAAAAGAUUUUAAAAUAAAAAAAAUGAAAGAGUCGCCAUCAAUCUUUUUUAGGCUGUGAUUGAUCACCAAAAAAAAAGUUUUUUAAUAAAACUAUAAAAAUGGGUUUAAAGUUUAUCAAAAAGAUAAAUUUUGAUCCAAGAAAAUCAGGUUGGAUCCAAGAAUCGAUUACGUGCGGAGAAGGAUUAGCACCCUCACAACGCCCAUGAAUUGGUACCAAUUAAUCAUACGUUAUUUUCGGUAUUGGAUGAAAUGGUUUCGAUUUGAAAUUUAAUACUAAUUUUCUUCAUUUAAAAAACUAUUUUUUGCUAAAAUUUUUUAUUUAGAAAUAUUGAGAAAAUCUUGAAGUUAAAAAAUUAUUUUAAAAUUCUCCAACAUCUAAGCAUAAUUUAAGAUAACUCUUUUCACUUGAGAUUUAAUACAAUAUCUCUUAAAAUGAAAAUAACACUCCUCACAAGAAAUGAUUGUUGGUGACUUUCCAAUAUUUAGGUAGCACCAAGAAUUAUUUCCUUUAGAAUGUCAUUUUUAUUUUAUUUUAUAAUAUCACAAUUUUAAAAGUAAAGAAAAAACAUUUUGUGUGAAAAAGUAAAUUAUGGUAUUAUCAUAUAGUAAGCAAAAAUUAAAGACAAACAAAUGCAAACAAUAACAAAUAAAUGCAUGUGAGCCAAUAGAUGGUGCGUAUGAUAAUGGAAUGCAAAUUUGAAAUUGAAUUAUUAAAUAUAAUGAGACCACUUUGACUCUCCAACAUCUAGGGGAAGCUUAGGUGUAAUUAUUCAUAUUUAAGAUCUCAUUUUUUUAGUAUAUUUUUAUUAUUAAUUAAUUAUUAAUCCCAUGGUUAAAGCAAAUUAAGGACUAGCAUGAAAACUUGAUGAAAUAAAGUUUCUUAAAUACCCCAUCAUCUAUGUGGUAUUUGAGAACAAAUUAUUUCGAGUGAAAUUUUUAUACAUGUCCUUAAGAUUUUAUAAUGGUCUUGGUUAGAGCUUAGGUCGAGGUUUUAAAGGAUAAGGUUUCAGAUUUUGAAUAUUUGAAUUUUGGGUAUUAGUUCGAGUUUUAGGUGUUUUAGGGCUUAAAUUUUAGGGUUUGGAAAGUUUAGGUUUUGAUUUAGGGUUUGGAAAUUAGGUUUUUUAUUUUUGGGUUUGGAGGGUUUAAGGUUUCGAUUUUAGAGUUUUGAGGUUUUAAGAUUUCGAUUUUAAGGUUUGAGGUUUGAGGUUUCAAUUUUAGGGUUUGAGGUUUUAGGGUUUAGUACUUUGAUUUUAGGGUUUAAUAUUUCAUUUUUAGGGUUUGAAGGGUUUAGGGUUUCAUUUUUAGGGUUUGAAAGGUUUAGGGUUUCAUUUUUAAGGUUUAGAGGGUUUAAGAUUUCAUUUUCAGUUUUGGAUUUUAGGUUUCGUUUUUAAGGUUUAUAAGGUUUAGGGUUUCAUUUUUAGGGUUUGGAAGGUUUAGGAUUUUGUUUCAGGGUUUGGAGGGUUUAGGGUUUCAUUUUUAAGGUUUAGAGGGUUUAGGAUUUUGAAAUUUAGGGUUUUAUUUAAAAUAAAAAAAAUAAACAUCUCUAAAAAUCUUCAACAUUUAAGUAAACUUUCAGAGCAUGUUUAAUUUUUAUAAUUUUUUAAAACUAUUUUUUAAAAAAAUUCUUUUUAAUGAAAAUUUAUUAUUAAAAUAUUAUUAAUUUAUUUAAUAUUUUUUAUAAUAAUAAUUUUUCAGUAUCUAGGUGAAAUUAUCAUUAUUUAGAGCAUGAUUAAAUUCCUUCUAAUAUCUAAAUAGAAAAAAGUUUCUUAUCACUAAUUUAUUUUAUAAUCAUUUUAUAAUUUUCUAUUUAACAUUUAGGUUAUUAUUAACAAAGAAAAAUAUGCCAAAAAUUUGAAAUCAUUUUUUAUUAUUGUUGUUGUUAUUAUCAAUUAUUAUUGUAAAAUAAAGAAUGUUUAUUCUAACAAAUUUAGAGGUAUUAAACAGGCUUAAAUAAUAAUAAUAAAACCAAAAUAAUAUAAAUAAUAUAUAUAAAAAUGAAGAAAAAAUUUACCAGAACUGGUUCAGCCAACGAUCCGAUCAACGUCGAUUCGACGGUUCAAGUGGUUCUGCGUCCAAUCAACAGUUCGAUAGUUUGGACGAUCGGUCAACGGUUCGAUUCGGUCUGAUUCGAUUUAACUGAAUUGGUCAGAGGCUGUUAAGGGAACGGGUCAACAAAUCAGUUUGCGCGGACCCUGGGUCGAGACGCGGGUCAAUGCACGAAUCCUAGGAUCUUGAGACAAUGUCAUUUUGGGCUUUGGCUUUCUAUAUAAAACCAAAUUUUUUUUUCAGUUCAUUCUAUCAUUUCUGCCAGAAAAUAAUUCAAAGCUCCAAAGAAAGCUCCAAGGCCUCUAUAGGCAUCAACGUCGGGCCACCUGCACCACCACGUCGAUCGUCGCCUGGGUUACCACUGACAAUUGUCAAUGGUCGAAAAAUGCCAAAAUUCUUUAAAAAACUCUCUUCGAUACCCUCUUUUCAGAUUCGAUCUUCUUUUUACUGGAAACGACCUUGAUCAGCGUAGAUCGGGACUUAAAUUUUCUAUUUUCUUUCUUUUUUUUAUAAACCAAAACUAAUGUAUUUUUUUAUUUUGCAAGUACCUCUUUGGCGUUGGUUUCUUCCUUACGGUGAGGACUAUUUUAAUUUUUUUUUGUGAAUUUUUUUUUGUUUUCUUAUAGGUAUUGUGGGGAAAUGAUAAUCAGGGUUCAUUGGGUGCUGGCGUGGUGGUUUCGAGCACAAGGGGUGGGUGUAUGACACUAGGUUUGACGAGGGUUGAGGCUCGAACUACGAUGCCAAUGAAUUUUGGGUUUUUGAUGUGUUUGAAUUUGGUGUUUUUUCCAUGAGAGUUGAAAGGGAAAAAAGCUUUGGCUUUAAGGAGUAAGGGAUUUGGGCGGUUGUAGAUGUGGCUAGGGUAAGUUGUAGGGGUGGUUGUAGGGUGACAGUAAGGUGAUGAUAAGAGGCUAUAGGGUGAUUGGUGCCAGGCAUCAACACUUUGUUUUUUGUCACUUUUUUUUUAAUUAAUUAAUUUUUUAAUUUUUUAUUAUUAAUGUAUUUAAUUAAUUAACUUAAAAUUUUAAUCCAAUAAACUUAAAUAAAAUUUGAUGUCUAUAAGAUGGAUGAUAGAGAGUAUCUCUCCUUUUUGUGUCAAAUAUGAUCAUAGUCUUAUUGUACUACUUCAACCUAGUGGCAGUGCAGGACAGACAUCUUUUAAUUUUUGGCUCCGAUUUUGUUCCCUUAUUCUACACAAAAUACAUUGCUUUACUCUUUGCUUUUCUUUGUCCAUCAUCAAUGAUAAAUAUUGCAAGAAAGAGGGGGACCGAAAAUAAAACAAGAAAAGUUUGCAAAACACAAAUAUUUUUGCCAUAAGAAAAUCGUAGAGUCAUCCUUUCUUUGUUUGGAACUGAAAUAUGAAGGGCGCCCAUUUCAUGACUUAAACAUACUUAGUAUGAAAUGCGAGGAAAUUUAAUUUUUGGAGACAAAUAUAUUGAUGAAAAAUUGUAAAUGGCAACGGGCUGGUCCCAAGCUUGGUUCAGACUUGAGCAAAUAGCAAACAUGCUGCUUCAUUUCACGUGACAAAAAGCUCCCUAGGCUUUAAUUCUAGGUUUAAGUCAGAGACUGUACCUAAUAAUUAGAGCUAUGUGCCCUCCAGCAAUUAAGAUUCUUAAGCUGCUUGCCGGGUAAAGUCUUGCCAGAGCGCAGCUGCAACUUUUGAUUUUGUACAGUUAUAGCCAAAAAAGAAACAGCUCAAUUCCACAGCCUUUCCCUAUGAGAAUGUCCUUUUUUUUUUUACCUAAAAUUGAAGCCUCAAAGAGCAACAUAAAGUCCCUUUCAAUUUUCAUUCCCACGAAUACCAUUUAAUAUUUUUUAGUGUUGUCAAUUCGAGGCUACAAGUCCUAGAAAACUAGUUUCACACCCAAUGCAACUAACCUCACAUGUAAACAAAGAAAUUCCAUUGUUGAAUCUCCGUUGUAAGUUUGCUCAAAGUCAAAGGUUCUUUUUCCCAUUCACAUAAGUAACUUAUAAAUUAAAGAACGAAAAAUUAUUUUCAUUUAUCGUAAAUAAAAUUAUUAAAUUUCAUCAACGUAAUGAUUAAAAUAACACAUAUUUUUUGUAAAAUAUAUUAAAAUUAAUUAAAAAAUAAUAUAAAAAAACACAUAUGGCUCUCUUGUUUAUUAAAAAAAAUUACUUACAAAGAAAUAUGACUCUCUUUAAUGUUUUAAAAUUCUCUUGGCGAGCCUUGCAAUUACCAAAACUUGCUGGGAUAUUUUUAUUCUCUUUUUUUUUUUUUCCUCUUGGAAGCGUGGGAGCAUGUUUCCUACGAAUCAAUUUUGAAGCUUCAAUAUAAUAAAGCGAAAUAUUUCUCAUAAGAUUGACCAAAAAAAAUUUUCUGAUAGAAUCAUAUGAUGAAAAGGGCCAUUAGUAAUAUUGUAUUAGAACCAUUAAUGCCUCUGUUUUUUGGGCUAAUUGUUUAUGUAGAUAAUGUUCUAUGCUUUAUAGCAUUAUUUAUUUAUAAACUUUGUUGGCUAAACCAUUAGUUAUUGAGGUUACCAAAAAACAUGGUCAUUAAUUAAGCACUAAAAUUAUUUGAUAGUGGAAAAUACAUGAGCCAGCAGCACCUAUCUCCACCGCCAGAAACACUGCCUCCACGAUAUGUGCUGUUCCAUUGAUAAUUAUGGGCCAAACUUUUCUACUUCAUUGUCUAUAUUAUUAUUAAUCAAUUAUUCCGAUUGUUAAAACUUAAAUGGCAUUAUUUCACAUAGGUUAUAAAUUUUUUAUAAUUUUAUAUUCAAAUUAAAUAUUCACUUUUUAUCUUUUGAUAUAAAUUAUAUGUUUAACAUGAUAUAGAGUUAGGUUUGUUCUAUUCUUCCUGUUUUAUGCUCUUCAUUAGUUUGUCACAUGCUAAUCUCAUAUAUGCUAAAAGGUAAUUAAUUGUUUAAAAAUGAUCUUUUUUACCUAUUAUCAAUUAAUUUUAAAUUUGAUGGUUAAUACUAAUAUUUUAUGGAAAUAUCAAAUAAUAAGACAUUUGUAUCAAAUACUAAUAUUUUAAAUUUCCAUUCGGUGGUUCCAGCUAGAGGAGCCUGUGAUUCUGAAAAACACGAGGUCUUUACGCGUAUUCUGCUGUUUCUGCAUGCUCUUUUCCCUCCAGUCACGGCGCAAGGUUUGAAUCGAUCAUCCGAAAAAGAAGAAAUUGAUGCAAUUUUAUAUGGAUUGCUGGGUAUUUCAAUUGAAGGUAGUCUCCAUAUUCCAUGUAUUUAUGAUAAAAAUAGAUCAUAAAAUUAUAGGCAAUGGAAAAUUAUUGUUCAACCAAUUAAAUGUACAAUGAACAAUGGACAAUCUUUAAAUUUAAGGUCAUAAUAGGCAGCUCUCACUCCGACAUGGAUAUUUUGUCACGCAUGCAUCAAGAAUAUCCUAGUCCUACUUAUGCUGUCAGCUACAGCAUUACAAUUCACGUUGACUUAUAAGAUAAUGUUUGAUUUAAUUUUGUUAAAUUUUAUGAUUUUAUUUUAUAAAAAAUACUUUCGAUUCUGUUGAGUUUUACGAUUUUAUCUUUUCAUAAUUUUAUUUUAUAAAAAUUAUUUUAUAAAUUAAAAAAAUAUGAAUAUUUAUAUUUUAAAAUUAAUUUUUAUAUAAAAUUAAUAUAAGAUUCAUAACUACAUAUUUUUUUUAAUCUAACAAGAACAUGAUUACAUCUUUUUUCAAUUCAACGAAAGUCUUAUUAAUACUUCAAAAUUUAUUAUAAUAUUAAAUUUUAUAAUUCAUAUCAACUUAUGAAAGUUUUUUUCGCUUUAGUCUCAUUGGUUCUCAUGAUUUUUUUUUUUAAAUACCUCACUAAAAGUGACGUGAACGUAUAUAUUCUAAAAUCAUUUUUAGUAUAUAACCUAUGUGAAAUUGAUUACUUUACUUUAAGACUACGACACACAGCCAGUGUAAACUCGAAUUUUGCAGAGGGUAAGGCCUUGCAACUAACAAUUUUAAGGGCCCAGCUCCAAAAAAAAUUUUUUUUCAUUCGUUCAAUAUGGAAGCAAUAAUCCUCUUCUUUGAAAAAAAUAAAAAUAUUAUGAAUUUUAAACGAAUUAAACGAAUAAUUAAACGAAUUUUUUUUAAAAAAAAACUAUUUUGUCAAUAUUUUCUUUACUCUAUUCAUAGGCACAAGAUCAUUAAUUAAAUUUACAAUUUAUACUUCCAGAUAAUAAAAAUAUCGAUUAGUGGAUAAAUAAAUAUCAUUACAUUUCUUAUGUAAUAGCUAAAAACUAUAUGUUCUUUUUUUUUUCUUUGCAUUUCUGAUAUAUUCAGAUCAUCAUAACCACAGUCAUCCUUUCAUGAAUAUAUAUGGAUUAAAUAUUUAGUUCUUUCUCAGUAUAUCACAGAAUAUAAUUAAAUUAUUAAUUUAAAGUAUAUUUAUUGAUAGAUAAAUUAGUUUUUAUACUGUAAUUUAUGUAAAAAAAUAUUUGAAUUAAAAAAUAAUACUAUUAUAUUAAAAUUAAAAAAAUUAUAUUAUAUAUAAAUAAAAAAUAAAAAAAAUCACACAAAUUAUAUUUUGAACUUAUUACAUUGAAUAUUAGUUUGAAAAUAUAAAAAUUUAUAAUAUAAAAUAAUUACAAUUAAUUGUGAAAAGAAAGAUGUUUUUAUUUUAUAUAUUAAAUAAGUAAUAUUGAUUAUUAUUAAUUUUAUAUAUUACUUGAUAACAAAAAUUUCUUACCUCUUUUAAUAAAAAUUAAAUCACUUUCUAAAGUAAUGAUACGAUCACUUUCAAUAAUUUAAAAUCAUCGUCACAUAUGACUACUAAGAGAGAUCUAGCAUAGCAAGACCUUAAUCUCUCACGAUUGAUCCAAUGGACCUAGUUGCUAGCUUGACCCCCGGAUUCGUCAGACAUAGAGAUUACCAAAUAUGAUAAUCUAAUCAUUAUAUGAAAAUUUUUAUAAUUGUUUUGAUUGAUCAUCUCGUACAAAAUAUUAUUUAAAAGUAAAAGCAAAUAAAAGAGAUUAUUUCCAUGUGUACAAUCUCUUCCUUGAUUUACAAACUGCAGUAUCUUUUAUAAAAUAAAUUAUCAAUGCUUAUAUGAUCACUUAGGUAGUGUUUUAUAUCAUUUCAAGAUCAUCACGAUAAUUUUAUUAUCAAGAUAAUCUUAUUACUGAGGUGAUCUAAUCACUUGUAAUAUGGAAUCACUUUAUUUAAUUAAUAAUAAUUAAUUCUUAAAAAUUAAAAAUUAUUGUAUUUAGUAUUAUUAAAAUCAAAUAUCAUUUUGUUUGAAAAUAUAAAAAUAACCAUGUAUAUAUAUUAUAAUAAAUAUAUAAGUUAAUGAUUUCAAUAUUAUUUAAAGAUAAUAAUUAGUAAAAUAUUAGUAUUAUUUUAUUUAUUUUAUAAUAAAAUACAAUUAAAUUAACAAAUUUAUUAUUUAUAAACAAAUAUACUUAUUGAUAAAUAAAUUAAUUUUUUUAAUAUAAAUUUUGUAAAAAAUAUGUUGAAUUAAAAAAAUGAAACUAAUCCAUAUUAAAAUCACAACAAAAGAAAAACAAAAAUUAUAUUAUAUUAAUAAAACAUUAAAAAAUUAAAAAAAAAAAACACAUCAAUUAUUUUUGAAUUAUUACAAUAAAUAUUUAAUUUAAAAAUAAUAAAUUAUAAUAUAAAAUAAUUAAAUUUUAAAAUAAAAUAAAUUUUUAAUUCACAUAUUAAAUAAAUAAUAUUAAUUAUUAUUAAUUUUAUAUAUUUAUCUCGAUGAUAAAACUUUUUAUCCUUUUGAUGGAAAUUAGAUCACUUUUUAAGGCACUUAUAUAUAUUAUUAAUUACAUAUUAUGUGUACUUAAAAACUUGCACAAGAAUUUAUUUUUUUUUUAGGAAAAUUGCCCUGGAAUUUUAGUUAUAUAUAUUAUUUAUAAAGUGUAAGAAGGAAAGUUAAUUAGUUCUUCACUUUAUACAAUAUUGUAUGCGGAUACUUAUAUUUAAAAAUAAUUGCUUAAUUACUAAAAAGAUAAAUAAUUUUUUAAUUUCUAAAUAAAAUUUAACAAAUCUAAAAUUUAAAAUUUUACUUUUAGGGCCGAAUGGUUCGUAAAAUCUUGAAUUUUAGAGGAAAAUUUGAUACAUGUGGUUUAGAUUUAUUUUCAGAACAUCCCUUAAUUAGAUUAAUUCAUUUGGUUUGAAAAAAUCUUAGUUUAUUAAUUCAUAUAUAAUUAUUAUAAUCUUCUUAAUAAGCUGUAUAUAACAUUUUAUUUUGUUUUAAUAAAUAAACUUAAACUUCAAAUGAUACCUUUAGCAUUAAAAAAAAAAGAAAAUUUUAAUUUUUUAAUUAAAUAUACCAAAUUAUGGUAUUUAACUAGAUAUCAAACCAUAAUUAUUGUAUUUAAAUAUAAAAAAAUCAAUUACAGUGUUUGAAAGAGCUGGACGCUUUAUUUUUUUUAUAAAUAUGUUAGAAAAAAAUCAAAUAAGGGAUUUGUUAAAAAAUAAAACACUUUAUUUGUUUUUGUAAAAAUUUUAAAAAAUCAUUUAUCGAACAAAGUGUUUGCAAGAAAAAUCGCUUUAAUUAAUAUCAAUAAGAUACUUAUAAGAAAAAAUACUUUAAUUGAUAAUAAUUAAGAGGCUUAUAAAAAGAAACAUUUUAAUUGAUAUCAAUUAAGAUUUUUUUUUAUAAAUAUUUUUAAUUAUUAUAUAUUAAAAUUAAAUUUAAAAUAAGAUAAAUUUUUAAAAAAUUAAAAUUAAAUUUUAAAUUUACUUUUAAAAAAGAUAACGUAUAUGAUAAAUUAUUUAUUCAAAUCAAAUUUAAAAAUAAGUCAAUUUUUUUUCAUAAUCUUAAAAUAUCACAUGAAAAGUUAAAUUUUUUAUUCUAAUUUUUUUAUACUAUUAAAAAUUUAAUAUUUUGUCUGUAAUCAAAUUAUUUUAAAUUUAAUGUAAAAAAUAAAUACUCAUCAUUAAAAUUUUUUAAAAAAUUUGUAAAAUCUUCCCUACCAAUCGCACUCUUACAAUUUUUUUAUCCGAACGGAGACUCCUUUAUAAAAAGGUGACUUAAUUACCGUAAAGAUAAUGAUUUUCACAUCAUACUGCUUGUGUUUUUCAAAACUAAAGCCUCUGCGAUUCCAAAUUUUGUUUCUUGUUUUUUUCACUCUUCUCAAAGAAAAAACAAAAAAAAGGGAAAAUCUGCACGCUUGAUUAGAUUUUCUUCUUCUUCUUAACCAAAUUCCCAUUUCAUUUGCUUUCACAAAAGUUGAAACAAAAUCUCUCUUGCCAACUUGAGGGUACUUUCCAACGUCGUUACAGAGUCAGUUCAUUUGCACCAGAUAUCAGUUAAAGCACCAGUCCUUUUAACUAAGACAACUCUUUGUUCUGUUCUCUUCCUCUUUAAUAGUGUUUCUUUAAAGCCUUGUUUGUAAAUCACGACAUAUGUUUGAUUUUAAGAAUAGUCUAUUGGUGUUAGAAAAUCUUGGAAGUUUUUGACUUCUAAAGAAGGAUUUGGGCGUCCCUCUUUUCUUUUUUUUCUUUUCUCUUCCAAUCAGGUGGUUGAUCAAGAGUGCCCAUUUGAUACGCAAUUGUUGACGCUCUAUAGAGUCCUAAUUCCAUCUCUUCUUACUUUUGGCUCUUCCUUUAUUGUUUUUAUUAAUCUUUGCUUCACUUUCCCGAGAAAAUGAAGGACAUGACGGAAAAUCGAAAGUUGGUAAGCAGAGUAUCUCUGGGUUUUUUCCCCAAUAUUUUAUUUCCUUUUUUCGUUUUUCUUGUAACUGUUUAAUUGGUUUUUAUCAUCAUCAUCUAUCGUUCUAUUUCUAAUAAAAUUCCUUAAAAUUUUGAUCUUAAUUUCAAGUUAAGGGAUGUUCGGUCUUUGUUUUUGUACCUCUGACUCUGUCUUGUUGGGUUCCUGAUUUGGUGAUAGGAUUCGGCAUCUUCCUACGAUGGUUGUGGGUCAGAAGAGAAGACAUCCUCACAAAAAAUUUCAGUUUCGGAUCAUAUUAAUGGAUUUCAAUACACAAACUAUAAACCCGAUAGCUUUGUUAUUGACAUGGAAAGUUUCUCUCAUGGAGGAACCAGUAAAGAAAUAAAUCCAAAUUCAAGAAUCACUGUAAGUUUCCUUCUUUUUUUGGGAUAAUUUCAAAUAUGCUAUAUUUUUUGAAUGACACGUGUUCAUAGCUCAAGCAUCCAGUUCAUGCAUGUUUGAAAUUCUACUUUUUUACAACAAGAAAGAGUAUAAAUGCUUGUUUUGCUGAAAUUUUCAUGAAUUUUUGAAGCUAAAGAAAAACCUUUUGAGAUACCACAUUAACAACCUGCCCAUGACUUUGCGGUCAUCUCAAUAUAUAAAAAAUAUCACCAUUUUCUUUUCUUUUUUUUUUUUUUUUAUUGUUGUUGUUAUAUAUGAUUUUUUUUUUUUUUUGUUUUUCUUCUGUUAAUUAAAAAAAAAAGUUGCAGCGAAGCCUUUCACGCAAAGGGUCUCAGCGAGGCGACAAGAAGAUUAUUACUCCCAAUUGUGUUAAUUCUAAUUCUAGUUCCACUCUCGAUGAUAGAGAUUCUGUGGCCGCCACUAACCCCUCAUACAGAGGUACAAACUUUUUCUCCACAAAUGAACAUUAAUUGCUUUGAUUAUACUAAUUGCAUUGUCAAUUUACCAUUUGCUGUUUUUUAAACUCUUAACUCCAACUUUUCCCAGGAAAAAUUUUCCUGGAAAAAUGAAUGGGAACAGUUUGGCUCGGAUGUUAUAAGUUUUUCCCAAGUUUAAUGCUUCAAUUUUCUUGACACAUAUGGACCUUUGGCCCCUGUUGUGAGAGAGGGUGUUGUUGCAUAAUUGCAUAUGUAGGACAGACUAAUAAUAGUUAGAAUAAAUUAAGAUUUGGACAUAUUUGCUGUUUGCCAUAUUGUAGUUUAAUACACUAUUUUCCAUCAACGACCAGGACCAAUGGGCUUACACCCCCUUUGCUCGACAAUUAUACAGUUGAUUUUGUUAUUAUUAGGCUAUAAUAUAUCAAUUAAUUUACUACUAAGAUUCUCGAGAAGGUUUGGUUUUUUAGUAUGUGCUGGCACACAUGCCAGGCUUGAAUUUAACUUGUUAAAUACAGGGCUGUUAUUCAGUAGUUCUCAUUUAACAAAGAAGAGGGCAGUAACUGAAUUUGAGUUCUGCUGGGUGUCUAAUAAAUUGGUGCAAAGUUCAGAUUCCAAGAGUAUCGUCCUUUUUGUUGAUGUUCUUCUCCUGGACGUAUGUUCUCAUGUAUUGUUGGAAAUUUUAGGGUAAAAUGCCUGUUAAUUUACAUAUUUUAUUUGUGAGAUUUAGGCAUGGAAUUAUUGAAUUGUGCAACUACUCUGCUAGGGUCUAGCACGCUUGAAAAGCCCACGGCGGUGGCUGUAGGGUCCACCGAUUAUGCCAGCAACCCACAAGUUCAUCAUCAGAUCACCAUUACAACUGGCAAUAUCGCUGCUGCCACUGACAGCAGAUUCAGUUUAAGGAGAAAUAGUUUCAGGCGGUCUCCUCCACCAUGGCUACUAGAUCCCAGGAGGAUUCUCAUGUUCUUUGCCACAUUGUAAGUUGCAGCCAAUUGGAGGUUCACUUGCAAAGAUACAAAAUCUUAGCAAUUCAAUAUAUUGGGGGUGAAAAUUUUCCUCUUUUGACAGGUCGAGCAUGGGCACAAUUUUGCUGAUAUAUUUCACUUUGUCAGUAAGCAAAAUGAAUGGAGAUGAGAAUGCUUUAGAUUAGUAGCUGGAACGAUACUCACCAACUUAUUGCUCUGAUUAAAAUAUGUUGAAAUAUAGCACACACAUGGGAGUUCAAUGCGUGACAAAAAGAAAUGGAUGCGAGUGGUUGUUAGUGAGGCUCUUUUUUACAAGAAAUGUCUUCUUUUGAUGAGAAAUUGAGAAUUAUCCAGGUAGUGAAGAACAAAAAGAAAGAUCAAAAGGAAGACAAAUUGGGCCAGAGGACGGCAAAAGCAAAUCAACCCUCCCAGUAAGAUGACUUAAAAUUUAGCAGUUAUCAACUUUUUGAGGCAUCUUAGAGAAAUUUUGGAGAUGAGGACAAAGGCAUACUCCACUGUGACAAAGAGAUGGAAUCUUCCCUUUUUAAUUAUAUAUAUAUAUAUAUAUAUAUAUAUAUAUGUAUGGAAGAGAUAAAAAAAAAAAAAGUUGAUAGAUUACAUUUUUAUGCAUUUUUAUGCUUUGUUGUUUAUCUCCACAGUCGAUGCAGAUGAAAUGGAGGAUCAGAAGUUACUUUUGUGCCCCAUCUUUUCUUUUUCCUUCGCCAUACCUUCUCUUCAGUUUCCUUUUCUGGCAAUCUAACAUCAAGUGCUUUUCGCUCGGUGGCUUUCACGUGAGCGAGCAAAGGAAAAAUCAUAGCUAUGAGAUUUACAGGGCACUAAAGUAUUUGUAUAUUUGCACAUAAGCAUGCGCACUCGAAGCUUCCUACUCUUUUCGGACCAAAGCGUGGGCUUCGGGUGAUAAAAGUGUUCUUUUCUAAAGGCUCGUAGGGUUGGUUAACACAGCACUCGAAUAGGCCUAACACCCACUCACGCAGUCAUACUUCAGUUGGAAGUUAACAAAGGUCUAAUUUGGAUGGUCAGUUGCCACCAGCGGAGCGCGGUUCUUCCCUAAAGGACUGGCCAUCCAUUUAGCCAUUUGCGUAACGACACUUGCAUGUUUUCACUGCACUAGAACAAUUUUUAUAUUGAACCUUAAACGUCCAGAGGAAAAACUAACUGCCCAUUACAUUUUUUUUCCUAAUAAACUUUUGCUUUCUUUUUUAUCCUUGAAAUUAUAACAAAAGGACGAAAAUAUCCUUCCACUUAACUUUUUCUUUCUUGUUAAUUUUUUUCAUUUUUGAUUUUUUAUUGAAAAGUUUUUAAAUAACUUUGUUAAUUUAAUAUAAUAAAUAAAAAUUUAUAUUUAUAUCAUAAAAAAUAAUUAAUAAUACAAAAAAUAUAUAAUUGAAUAUGACUUUGUUAAGUUUCAAUUUAUUUAAAUAUAUUAGUAUCAUAUUUUUAAAUUAUUUGAUAUAUUAUUAUAUUUUUAUUAAUUUUCAGUCAUUUAUUAACACAAUUUUUAUUUGACAUAAAAAUAAUUUAAUAACUUUAAUUAUUUAUUAAUUUUGUACAAAUUUUAUUUAUAUACAAAUUUUAAUAUAAUAUUUUGAAUGAUCAUUUUAUAUUUUUACUAUAAUUCACUUCAUCACUAUAUUUUUUUUACACUUAAAUAUAUAUCCAAUUAUUCAUUUUAAUUUUAUCGUUGUAAUAAUUAAUUCAUCUUUUUUAUUAUUUCAAUCUCAUUCAAAUUGAUCACUCUCCCCUCCAAACGAACCCUAAUUUCUGAUACAGAUACAAUGCCAGGUUUCGUGUGCUGAGCGAUUUCAAGCAGUAAAAUAGAGGUAAAACCAGAUGCAUCAUGCGGUUCGAACAUCGAGGCAACAAACAAAACGGAAUUACAGGCAAUUUGCACAACAGCUAAGCUAUCUAUGACAUUGACUAUCGAGAAAAGCUGCAGCAUGCAUUGUUUAAUUGUUUCAGUUCCUUGAAGCCACACCUGAUCCCAGGGUACAAUCUUUCCUGAGAAAAUCAUAAUUGAUGACUUGUACUGCUGAAACUGAUUCCAAAUACCUCGAUCACACAUUCAAACUUUCAAUCGUUAUCAUCAGCACCAGAUAAAAAAAAAAAAACUGUUUUUUGGACAAAUUUUCCAAGUAAGGGAGGUGGGUGUAUGCCUCCUCUCUCUCUCUCUCUCUCUCUCCCCCAAACUAACCUAGUAACUUAGCCUGACCUACUAACUACUAAGCCACCAAUGAUUUUUUUUUUCUUUUAAAACACAGCUAAACCAGAUAAGCAUCGAUUCUAAAAUCAACAAUGAAGAACUUGAACUAAGGUUUUCCAUCUAAAGCAACAAAACUGUUUGUGGGUUAAUAAUUUAUUUAAGUAGGACACCAUAUGACCAAUGUUCUGAUGGUCUCUCCGCAAUAUCAAUCCCUUUCCACUGCUCUUUGGCUUAUCAUAUUUUUGAAUCAUGCAGCCACCCUAGGCCACCUCUUCACUCAAUUAGGAAUCUCUCACCACUCUUUCGAAGAUUAUCUAUAGUGGGUACCAUGAAUAGACCCCCUUUACCUAAAUGCCAUUCACUGUAUAAACAAAAAAGAAAAUCCUUUGUUUAGAUUCAUUGACACAGAAACAGUCCGUCUCAACCACAUGAAACAUGUGACAGUAUAAGACAACUUAACGUAUUACGAUACAGAACCCAACAAAAUCACUAAUAACCUUCUCAAAUAUAGGAAUAAAACAAACUUCAUAAAGGCAUUUCAGCAAACUGAAGUUCAAAAACCAGUGUAGUCAUAGCUGAUGAAAACCUCUGGAGGUAUGGAAAUCAAGAUCACCUAGAAAAUAUGGAUUGAUGCCUCAAUCAUGGAUAAAAUCAGACACAAGCAGCCUUGGGGUACAAUACAGAGGCAAAGAAACCCAAAUAAUAAUAAUAAUAAUAAUAAUAAUAGAUGAUUAAAGAAAAGUUAGAUCUACCACUCAAUAAUUCUGGUACUAAAUUACCUCCACAAAACCAAUAUAUGAGGUUUUGGAGAUGAUGAAGUUAAGUAGUCACUUUAGAUAAACCAUUGGAGUUUAUAACCACGUGUAACAAAUACAUAGCCGCUACUUUACGAGAAUCUUAAGAUGUUUUUUCUUUUGGCCAACCUUUAGAUGUUCAACUAAGACAAAGGAAGAAAAACUGCGUAAGCAAACUAUGUGGCUGUAAUACACUAGUAGUUACUGAAGUUCAUAAUCAGUGAAAUACUGAUACUCGAGAUGGAAAGAAGAAACAUAUACACUUGCUAUAUUUCACCUUGUUUUCCCAACCAUUCACCAUCUGAGUUACGAAGUAAUUCUCUGUAACUAUGAGGCAGCAACCUCAGACUCCAGCUGUCCAGCAUACCUGAAAACAAAGAACUUGCCAUCUCAUUGCUUUAUUAGUAACGUUUUGAGAUUCCUGGCAUUGAACACUUGUGCUUCCGAUCAUGGUAGAGCCUCAAUAUAACAGCAGCAGUUUCUUCAAUUGCUUUUUCUGUCACUUCUGCACUCAUAAGUAUCAUUAGGUGAGCCCAAGAUUUCAUCAGCUGAACAUGUCAAACAUCUUUAACUUUUGAAUAUCAAUUUUUACUAUAAUUUUUCUCCUAUUAAACUUACAUAUGGGCUCUAAGUAUCUGCAUUCUGAACUAUCAAAAGAGUUGGGAGAACAAAACAAAAAUAGAGUAAAACAGUUAAUUAUCUUUACCAAUAACUGGCCAGACAGGAUUUUGGGCAAAAACCCUGCGAGCAAACUCCAACUCCUGUCUCACAUAAUCCAUCUCUGAAUAGUUACUCCUUGCUUCCUUGCUGAAGCCCAGACUCUUAGCUCUUGCUUUUCUAAUAGUUUGCAAGACCAAAGGAUUAAUAGUCAAACCAAAAACCUUCUCAGGGUCUACCUCGAAAAGUCCCUUUGGCAAUGCCACUCCCUUCACAAUAGGCACAUUUGCCACUUUAUAUCCUUUCUGUGCUAGAUAAAUUGAUAACGGUGUCUUCCCAGUACGAGAAACACCCGUGAGAACAAUGUCAGCCUUGCACAAGUUUUGGGGUAGAGCCCCAUCAUCCUGCUUGAUUGUAAAUUCAACAGCUUCAAUCCGUCGAAAGUAUUCAUCCGAAAGAGGAAAGUUUCUCCCAGAAGCUCCCCGGGGAAGACCGGAGGGUGAGACACCCAAAUGAGCGGCAAUUGACUCUGUAAUUGGACCCAAUAUAUCCGUAGAUGGCAUACCCCACAAUUUGCAAGCUUGCUUGGCGGACUCUGCCAUGUAAGGAUCGGCUAAAGUGUAAACAAGCAUUGCACCUUCCUUGGCUGCCUGCUUUAUAAUCUCCAUCAAUCUCUCAACAUCGUCAAUCUGAACAUUGCAUAUCACAUUGUCAAAGAAUUAAUCCAAAAGGCACUACUUUUAUGAUCAGAAUCUCCCAACCUAAUAUUUUUCAAACAUUAAAAAAAAUUCAAAUUUCAUUACAAAUAAAUAAACUUGAAUAACAACUAGAACAAAAUAUGCAAUUUUUUUUACUUACUUUAAAAGACAGUAAAAAAAAGUUAGUACUUUCACUCUUUAUUAUAUUUAGUACUUACUUUAAAAGGAAAAAUAAACCCAAAACAAGCAGACAACCUUAAAUAUGGCAAAACUUUAGUAGGAUUCAUUAGUAACUGAAACAAAUUCUGUUAAGAUAUGAAACUAAGUGAAAAGACAAACAUACCCCUGAGAAAAGAUGGGUAUUUACGGGGCACACACGGUCCACCAAGCAAUGCUCGAAUUGCCCCAACGCCGCGUUAACGGAAUGCUCCACCGUCCACCCAGUUCCAUCAGAUACCAUAUAAAUUGGCUUCACCGAUGUUGUUACCUCCACCUCAUGACCGCUGUCACUGACCGUUGCAGUGGAUUCCAAAGACAGGCUCUCUCCAGCUCGUUGAACCAAGUGGUUCACUUCAAGCGCUCCCGUCCGGUGGCUCGGUCGUUCCAGUUUGUGGCCCGACCUUAAGGCUCGUGCCCGGUACCAUCUGUUGAGCUGUGGGCUGCCCUUCAGUUUCCGAACUUUGGGCUGGGGUUCUGGCUCGGAGAUAUCGGGAUUGGCCGCGGUUGCUGUGGCCCGGAGAUUGAAGGUGGAACAAGCCAGCAUUUUUUUUUUUUUGGUUCAACUCUUUUUUUCUAAUUUUAUCUAUUUGUUGGGAAAUUAUGAGGUGAAAGGAAAAUCCGGCCUAAACAAUAGGGAUAAUCCAAAGUAGAGUUUAGCAGCCCACAAAUUAAAUUGGACUGAAUAACAUUUUUCGGGAAAUUUUUGGGCAUUGGAAAGUUUUGAAAAAGGGCUGGCUUCGCUUUCAAGUCCACUUAGACUUUUAGGCCCAUCCAUUAUUUUGAGGAUGAAAUUAUUCGUGUCCUUAUUUUGUCGGAUGAAGCACUCGUUGUCGAGUAGGUCUUUGAAAAAAAAAACGUUCUUGCUCUUAAUUUUUUCAAGUUUUGCUAAUGAUCAUGUAACUUGACAUAUAAUAUCCUAUUUUAAUCGAGAUAGUUUGAGAUCUUUGCUCAAGUUUUUUACUACAAUAGAGUCGUUUAAAAUUUUAUUGGAAAACCCGAUUAUAAAACACAUCUUUUCAUACGAUAAAUCCUUCAAUCAGGCCUCCAAAUGAACCUACCCGCAACCUAAAAUGUUUUGUUUCUUAAAAGAUCUACCAGCAUUUAUCAACUUUAAAAUUGCUCAAUCACCAAUUUUAAUUGAAUUUUAUAAUUAAACAAAACAUACUAUAAAAUUUUUCUCGGGGCGGCGUGGAGGAGGAAUGGGAUAGGAAGACCAAACAUUUUUAUACAAAUGACCUAACUACUAACUAGCUAGAAGAGGCAAUCAAUAUUUACUUGGUGAAUAUAUAUAUAUAUAUAUAUAUAUAUAUUUAUACAAGAAACCUGGGGAGCCCUACUUUAUAGCCAUAUUUUUUAACAUCGUCCUGGACUUGCUGUCUGUAUUCCCUAAAGCUAAACAUCCGAUAAACCGAAGGCUUGCUGCAACUUUCUAUCACAGUCUCAGACGAUGGGCAAAGGAAAUAUGCAGCUGUAAACCUUUCAUUUGUUGGAUUCGUGACGACACAAUGUUGUACACUCUUGUAAUAAUCAUUGCUUCUUGCCUGCUCAAUAUCAAUAUAUCCAGUCAGUAGCUAAUUGACCUUUUGAACCGGUAAACAAGUUGCUAUAUUAAUAUUGAUUACCUGAAAUAAAUCUCCAAUGUUGAUGAUUAAGGCUUCAGGAUUGGGUUUGACUGCAAUCCAUUUCCCAUCUUUCACUAAUUGCAAUCCUCCUACCUGAUCCUGGUGCAGAAUAGUGAGGAAGUCGCUAUCCGUGUGUGGCAUUAGACCAAAUAUUUCUAAAGGAAAUGGGCAGGGUGGGUAUCUGUUCAGUCGUAGAUAGCAAGUGCUUGGCAAACAAUUUUCCUGGAAAAAAUUCGACUUGUGACCUAACUCCUCUGCCAAAAUUUCAGCUAACGUCUGAGCAAGACUGGCAAGUUUUGUAGCAAACUGUUCCAUUGAUGACCUGGUUAACACAUUACGAGGGCCAAAUGAGUAGUAGUUUGAGAAUUAUUUCAUAGUUUAAAGAAAAGAUAUUAGAAAAAGAAUCCCCCAACUAUUAAGAGGUGGGUGCAAUGACCCAGUAGGAAGUAGUACAGCAAUAUAGAUCAUCAAGAAAAGGGAACCCCGUUUUUGAGGUCACAUCAAGCUUUUUAAUGCAUGCAGAUUGGAUUGACUGGGUUUCCACCUCAUCCAAUUAACAUGUGACAUUCAUGUGGGAUGUAUGCCAGAGAAGAGAGAACGUGCAUGUAAGGCAAGGAAGUGAUCCCCAUUGUACGUUGGAUGAUUUUAUGGUGAGUUUUCAGACCUUUCUUUCUUACAGGGUGCAAUGUAUCUAACUGUUUAUAUAUUACUAGUGUGACCACAAAGAAUUAAAAGCCAUUGACUUGUCUAACUAAAUCUAAAAGGACAAACCUAUUGAGACGUUACAGCUUAAUUCCACAAAGAGGAUGACACCUCACACAUUUUACCAUGCAGCUGUGGUUCCUAAUGUUUACAUGUGAUAAUAUCUCGAAGCUGAGGCCUAGUAACAGUAUGAGUUGACAGUUGACACUGAAACAGACACAGAACCACCAAUAAGAAAAGACAAAUAUGUAUACAUUAAAAGGAAAAAGCAAAAUGUCUGAGCCCGGGUUCGAACCGGGGACCUCUAGUGUGUGAGACUAGCGUGAUAACCAACUACACCACCCAGACCGGUUGAGAUAGGUCCCGAUAAAAUUUAAAUAUCAUUGACUAGCUUAACUUUUCGUUCAGUGGAUAUGGAUGGAUUGGCUGGAAGUAAAGUGGUCCACCGUCAUAUUCAAUAACAAUCAACAUUUUCCAUAUUUGGGAUACAUUUAAGACAUUCAAUAUCAACCUCAUAUUCUUAAGAUAUGAAAAGGCAACUUAUCAAAUCCCAUUAGGAUGGAAACACAAAAAAAAAGGUGUUGUUAGCUUUAAUUUUCAAUUAAUGUCAAAUGGAUGUUUAAUAGAAGUCAUGGAUACAGGUGAUAAAUUUAUGAUUGUUAGGUUAAAAUGGAAAACCUAUAUUUCUAACUAUCUAGAUUAAUUUUUAAAUGUUAAUAAUAUAUGAAGAACUUAUGAAUCAUAUGAUAUUUGUAAAUCGUAUUAAUUAUUUUUAUUUAAUUUUUAAAAUAUUGAAAUUAUAUUAUUUUUAAAAAUUCAAUGGCUAGACUGAUCCUUAAGUAAAGAUUUUAGAAGAUCAAUCAAGCUUGACUCGGCCCACAACAGAUUUAUUAAUUUUUUAAUAUCGCUAAUAUUUUAUUAAAAUACUAACUUUAGGUGGGUCUUCUAGCUUUAACAAUUUUUAAGCCAAAUUAUUGUUAAGUAAAAGAAUAAAAUCCUUGCUUUUAAAGUUUUGUGAGAUUUGUAAAGUGGACACUCGAUGCUAAUACUUUUUAACUUUGAAAUUUACUAUUCAAGUUUAAAUUUUAUUUACUCCAUUUUGUACCAUAAAAACUUUAUCUAAUAAAGAAACUUGAUGCAAGUGUACAAUGCACCUAGACAAACAUCAAAGAUGAAAGUUAACUUGUAAUCUUAUCUUGUUUCAAACCCAAGUACAUCUGUUUACGCUCCCUGACAACUAUGAUGAUCUUCUUAAUCAAGCUUUAAGAGUUUUACAAGGAGAUCAUUUGACUAUUGAAACCGAAUCAUCUAAACUAUUUUUUAAUAUUUAAAAUUAUCAUAAUUUACACUCUAAUAAUUAAAACUAAAAAUUUAAAAUUUUACCAACAAAACCUGCUACUGAUAGGAAAUUAUUAUUAUUUUUUUUAACUUAUGGCAAUUAGCCAUUCUUUCUUUUCUAGACAUACCAAAAUUAAGACGAUGGUUUUGACAAAAUUUUGAUUCUUUCUGCUAUAAUUAAGAAUCUAGGCUUCUAAAGCAAUCACAAAAAGUUUAAAAAGACUAUGAAAAGACUAUGGAUUUGAGCCUUGUUGUCUCAUCGUUACAAUAGUUGGUUUUUCAACAAGAAAACUAUAGCUAAGCUUCAAUUGCAUGCCGACAUGCGGUCUCAACAAUAAAACAAAAGCCUUAAUUAAUGUUUUAACUUAAAUAAGACAUAAACAAGCUUAUGUUCUGGUUCUUAGUGUUAUGUUAUUGCGCUUACAAAUUUGCAAAGAAACAAAGUUGAGGAGGAAAUAAAGGAAGCUUUCUAAAUACCUGAGACUACUAUUGAUGAAGGCGCAGGAGCUUGAGAUAUCGUUCAUGGGAAUGUGGAAAGCUUCUGACCAUGACAAUUGCCUUAGGGAAGUUGCUGUUGGCGUCCCCCAACGAUAACUACCAGGGGAGAAAUUCAAGAACUUGUCUUCUCUGCACUUGUUGUGAAAAGGUUGCUUGAAAAUUUUCACUUGUUCGUCUCUCAUCUUCUCCAAUAUGUCUCUCGAGAUUCCAUGGUUUAUGACUUGAAAAAAACCCCAUUCAUGCGCUGCCCUAGCUAUCUCUUUCUUGCACUCUUCACUCUCCAGCUCGUCGACCCCUAAACGGCUUAGAUCAAUCAAGGGAAGCUCGCGUUCCUCGACGACGACAAGGCGGUGGUUGUUUUGAGAGAUUUUGGUCCUCGGUUCUUCGUCGUUGGUGGAGUUCACGAAGAGGUUCUUGUAUGUCUCGUGGAACGGUGGGUCCGAAUCCAUGCCUAGCGGCUAAUCUCAAAGCAGAGAUCGAGAAGAGUGAAAGGUCAAAAAUGGCUAAUUAUAAGCUGUUUGUAUGGUAGUGAGAGAGAUGGAGACAGAGUAAGGAUUGAGACAAUACGAUUUUCUUUGUUUCUGUUCGAUGAAAACGUUAUGGAGACAAUUCGAUUUUCUUUGUCUCCUUUUCUCACGUUUUGGACUUUGGAGACAAGGCUGAAUUGCAUGUCUUUUUGUAUCACUUUGGAGUCAUAUAUAUAUAUAUAUAUAUAUAUAUAUAUAAAUAUAAAUAAAUAUAUAUAAAUAUAUAUAUAUAUAUAAAUACUUAUAUAAAAUAGAUAAGAAUGAGAUGAUGGAUUUCGAAUUCUCAUUUUAUAUAUAUAUUUUAAGGUUUUUUAAUUGUUAGAUCAAAAAACUGAAAACCAUCUAUCUUUAUUGUAUCUUUAAACUUUAAUUAUGUUUGAUCAUCUUCUACAUUCUUCUUCUGAUCAUCUUCUACAUUCUUCUUCUUACACUUUUUUUUUCUCUUUAUGAUUUUAAUUUGCUAAUUCACUAAUCAAUCAUAUUACAAUGAAAUCAUAGAUUUUGAAAUCUGAUGCAGAUGCAAACCUUUUCUACAUUAUUAAUAUAAUUUUUUUAAUUUACUAAUCCAAUCAUUUGGCAAAUUAUUAUCUUUAAAUAUAAUUGAAAUCAUUAAAUUGUAUAAUUAUUACAAUAUGCAUGAUUAUUUUGAUGCUUUUAAAUAAAAUAAUAUUUGAUUAUUAAUAAUACCAAAUUGUAAGAAUUAAUAACCAUUAACUAAGCAAAAUAUUUCUCAAUUACUAGUGAUAAAAUCAUCCUAAUACUUCAAUAAUUAUAUUGCUUUAGUGAUUUUAAAAAUAAAACCAAAUACUACAUAAAUUAUGACAAAAUGAGUUUUAAUCUUCUAAAUAAUUAAUAAUAGAUAUCUCCAAUGCACAAGUGAAGUUCAAGCAACUUGACCAAUUAUGUAGGUGAUAUUUCAUUUUUAAAUAAAUUUGAAGUGAUCUUUGGUGGUUUUUAAUUAGUACCAUAUAUCAAUAUGUGAAUGGGGGUAAUGAAUAGAAUAGAUGGCCAUUGCAGUUAAUGGGACAGCUACAAGAGACGCAUGCAAAAUGCAUUCAUUGAGUGGGACCAUUUUGCUAAGCUAUGCCUUGAUCAGACGCUUGGUUAUUUAUAAAACAGGACGAUCUUGGGCUACUGGCAGCACUAACUCCAACUAUACAUAAAGAUGAAGACAGUUAUUAAUAAUUACAAGGUUGAAUGACAAUGCAACAUUCCCAUAUUCCCAUUGGCCGAGACUCUAGAGUCUAGAUUCUUAAUUCCCAUGUUAUUGCAGCAAUCAUCAAAUUGGGUCAGCCCUUUCUUUUUAAUUAUCAAAUUCAAAUCUGAAAUGUUUUUCAACAAGCUGAAAAUUGAAACAAGAAUAUCGUCUUGGAGUAUAUAUUACUCCAUUUCCAGAAAAUGAAUAAACAACAUGGUCUCUACGUGGACGACCAUGUCUGGAAUGAAUGCCAUGCAUAAACAUUUUCUCUUCUUUUACCUGGUUAAUAUUUGACAUGAGAUUAUGACUCUCCACCAUUUUAUUCUUCGACACGCAAUAUUUGUCUGCAUGAACAUAAUUAAAAGAAAAACAUCAGAAAGGAAGAUUUUCAAUUGAUUCUUGAGACGUCGCAGACGAAAUUAAUUGUGAGAUAACUACUUGCACGUUACUGCACGUAUAUGUCUACGUCUAGCAGUAGUUUUCGGUUUCUUAUUAUCCAUCUUACGUAUAAAUACAUAUAUAUACAUAUAUUAUUGAAAACAAAAAGGCAAGAGAACGAAAUGAAGAUUGGGACAAACAAAAUCUAGCUAGCUAACCUCAGGAAACAACUAUACUUACAAGGAAAAGAAUGCUUCAAACUUGAUAUCAGAAGGGUUUACAGAAGCAAAACACAGGAAAGUUGUACUCAGAAAAAGGAGAUGUUACAUGUAUAUAUAUAGUAGAGCAAGAUUGGAGGGGAAUCUAAAUGCUUUAUUUGUGUAGUCGAGGAAGACUGAAGGACAGAUAUUUCAUAGGAAAAGCCCCAGGAACCCAUAAAUCUUUAUAAUUAUUGAUUUUAAUUAUUAGGUAAAGAAAAGCGGGAUUGAGAUCCUAUGCUUUACAGAAGAACACGCGGCUUCUGUGAGUGUCAGAGAAAUGCAACUGUCUUAUUUUUCAUUUUUUAAAACGUGAUUUAGCAUAAGUACAGAGAAAAGUGGUUUUCUUCUUCCCAUUGCUUUGAAAUAUUGAGAAUGAGAAACAAAGAGAUAAGGUAAGGGGGAGACUUGGCAGAACGAGAACCAAAUGAAAUUUGGAUGUAAUUUGUGAAUGAAAAUUGGUCUAGCCACGUUGAAAAGAUGCUUGGCUGAAUCUACACCACUUUUCGAUCCUAAUUACUUUUCUUUUUCAGUAAAAUCUGAGAAACAAGGCACAUGAUCGCUUCUGGGUCCAAUACUCCAAUCAUAGUCCAUGUCGGUACAUUCGUAGCACAAUGUAGAGUCACAUGCAGUAAAACAUUUUCAGGGAAAGAUACAUCUGCUUGACCUGAGAAAAUUGAGAAUCAAUAGCUUCCAUGUGCAGUGCUUAGACACAAAAGGACAUCCGGAUCCUCAGAGAAGGAUUUAUGCCCAAAUUCCUUCAAGCAAUGGGUCUAUGCGAAAUAUCGCUCAAAUUUAUUACAUACUAUUAUAUAUCAUACGGGAUAUUUUUAAAUUCAAUCGACACUCACUUCCCCUGGACAGUCUAAAUUUUGUGUUCUUAAGAAGAAACCAAACGAUGCAAUUAAAGCAACAUGGCUUGUUGCCCAUGAUGAUAUCAUUCACGUUUUUCUGAGUGAACAAAUGGGAAUUAUGAAGGCGCCAUUGGCCCCAAUAUAUUGUAACUAUUGUUACAAUCUACAAACCCACAUUCGAUUUUCAAUUCAGGUGUGUUGAGAAUAGAUUUGGUCAUUUGUUUCAUCGUGUCAUAUUUUGUGUUAAAUAUGAUUUUAAAUACAAUAUAAAUAAUUUUUAUACGAAUAUGACGUGAAUAUAUGAAUGAUACGAAUAAUUUAAAUAUGAAUAUAACACAUUUAUCAUACGUCUUAUAUAUGAUACCAUACAAUUAAUGCAGUUAAAUUAAUUUAUAUUCAACUGACACAAUCUGACAUGAUACAAUUAAUAUAAUUAUAUACAAAUAAUGCAAUUAUAUAUGAUUAAUUACUCAAAUACGACACGAUUAUCACAAUUAUAUAUUAACAAUAUGAUUGAAUACGAUUAAUCUAUUUAUUUAAACAAAAAAUAUAAUUUAAAUUAGUAUUUAAACAAAAAAUAUUUAAAAAUUAAAAAUUUAUAAUCUAUCUAAACACAAAAAAUGAUAUGAUAAAAAUGGUUAUUAAUUUAUUUUUUAAAUAAAUUAAAAUAGUUUUAAUUUUUUUUAUGUUAUAAAUAAUACCUUAUCUUAAGCAUAUUAUUACUGUUUAACACGAACACGAUAAGAAUAAUGUCGUGUCUUAGAUAUGAUUAAGACACAGAAACUAAAUUAUACUAAAUUCAUACAUGAUUUUUUUUGUAUAGUUUUCGUAUCAUAUUAUCAUGUAGUAUAAAAAAUUAUCAGGUUUAAUCGAGAAGGGAUAUAAAUGUAGAUGUUCUAAUUAUGCAUUUCAGGUCUGGUUCUGUAAUUGCUGUUUUUACAGUACCCCAAAAGGGGUGGUGGUUGCAGCAGCGUGUGAACAGGCUACGAGUCUUGAAAUUUGUUGAUCAAUUAUGAUUUAUGCCUAACAUAUAUAAGCCAAGUUGCAUAUAUAUGGAUUAUUUUGGCCUCAUAGUGCAUUAUUUGUGGUGCUCAUGUGUUGUGACUUAAAAUGAGUCACAGGGUGACAGGACUGCUGGAGAGGAUAAGGAGGGUGAGACAGUGGCCUUCCUGGAUCUUGUUCUGGAAUCUUACCUCCAAUGGUUUUGCAGGUACUGUGUUGGUGAUUACUCCCUUUUUCAUACGUCAAUACAGCCCUGCUUUUCCCAUCAAUUGGACAUGUAUACUUACACCUAUAUGGUUAAAAUUUGCACUUUGAACUUGGAUUUAAUUACAAAGCGAAUUUCUAGAGAAUAAGAGCUGUAACGUAGUUUUAUGAGCCAUGCUAUUUAGGGGAAAAAAGGCCUUAGAUUUUUUUAAUACAAAGGAAAUCUAACAAGAAAAAAAAUUGUAAAUGUGGAGAUUUGAACUCCUUACCUAUAUGAUAUUAUCUUUUAACUGUAAUUACGUGAAUUAACAAAAUUAAACCCUAGAUUCAAUACUUUAGAUUUUUUCAAGGAGGCAAUCUUUUUGCGCAUAAAUUUUGUGCUAGUGCACCAUUUGCUAGGCAUUUAUGUUGCUUCCACUAUUAAUUUUUCUUGAAGUGCCCAUAAUUGAAACAUACUUUGACAUAGUUAUAAAUUCAACUCUCUAAAUAUAUUUAAUAACUUAAAAAAUGUUGAACAUACUCGUAUUGAAUAUAUAUCAUAUAUAUGAUGAUCAUCUAAAUUUGAGUAACAUAUAUAUAUGUAUAUAGGAUAUAAAUAUAUUAUGAUUUCAACUUUCUAGUUAACUUGAAAGCACAAUAUCUGGGGAUAAGGUCCAGAAUUUUACUAGUAAUUAAGAAAGAAUGUGAUUCAUCUCCGGUAGGAGCAGCAAUUGUAGUUGUAAUGGGCCAAAGGUUGAGUUUUCUAAGGGAUACUUACCUAUACGUCCCAGACCAGGGAGGCAGCCUGAAACAUGUACAAAUAGCAUGAGUAGGCUGCCCUAACCUUUCAAGGACCAAAACAUGCAAAUAUAUGCGUUGAAUUAAAUCAUCUGAUGGAAAAGAAAAAGGAGGUGAUCAGUUUAUGCCUCCAUUAUCGUUAACCCAUCCACAUGGACGGUCGACGAAAGGAGGUGCAAAUUUGGUUUAUGAUCAUUUAGUGAUGAUGGCACUGUGUCAAAAAAAAUUUAUGUUAAAAAAAAAUUUAAAAGUAAAUAAAUUGUUCAAUCUCUCGUAUAAAAAUAAUAUAUAUCAUAUUUGAUAAUUUAAUAUAAAUAAUUAUAUUUGAGAUAAUUUUAAUAAAUAAUUAUUUAUAAAAUUUAAACUCAAAAUUUUUUUAUAAAAAAAAAUAAUUUUAAUCGAUUAAAUUAAUCAAUUAUUAAUAUUAUAUUAAUUUUUUUUUUUUAAGAGUUUGCUCAUUUUAAUUAAAAGGAAUCGAUCAGUCUCCCUCAAGACUUUGAUGAUCGUGGGGGAUGGUGCGGUCGAUGCGUGGUGGAAUGGGCUUAGCAGGUCAUGUCGUUGUUGGGAGCCCCCAUUGCCCCCCACCCUUUUCUUUUCUUUUCCUUUUCCUAUUGAUUGACAAAAUCUUGUACUGUGAUCAAUUAGACGCCCACUCAAUCAUUAAGAGUCCCCCGAGAUUCGACCUUUUCAAUUUUAAUAUAUAAAGUCAUGAUUUUGACACGUGGCGAAUUAGCAAACACGGGUUAGCCUUACCCCCUCCCAUGCCGACCUGCUCAGGUCAUGUGCAUUGCUGUGGUUUUCCUCCUUUCUUUUCUAGAACCAGUAUUGCAAUUUUAUUUUUGUCUGAGUUAUGACUUGAAAUUUUCUUUUUGUUGAUUCUUCAAAUGAAAUUACAAAUUAAAUUAAAAAUCAUAGUUAUAAUAACUAUUAUUAUAUUAAAUUAUAAAAAAUUAACAUAAAAUUAAAUUAAAUUUACACAUAAUAAAAUUUAAAUCUGAAAUUCCAUUAGUUUCUUUUUUUUUUUUGUUGUUGAACUUAAUCUGGUUAUAAUUUAGGUUAUAGUAAAUCUUAUAAUUUGUGACCGUUAGAAUGGUAGGAAAAGGUUCACAUCCACCUGAUAGACAAACAUUUGAAUAGAUCUCAAGCAUUGAAGUCUACUUUUAGCAUUAAAAAAAUGCAUAGUGUCACAUCAAAUGAAAGAUAUUUAUUCACGAUUUCAAAAUCAAAUCAUUUGAUAGUUAAGUUGAAGUGACAAUAUCAUAUCUGCAUAUAUAUAUUCAUAUAUACAGGGGAGCAAAACUCAAAAAUUAAUCGUACUACUAAAUAGUAUUAAUUGUAGGUAAUUUAUACGAGGAUAAAAUUUAUAUAAAAUUUUAUAAUUUAAGUUUUUGAAAGUUUUUAUUAGAAAUAAAUAAAUAAAUAUUUUAAUAUGAAAAUUAAUAAUAUGUAAAAAAAAAUUAUUUAAAAUUUAAAUUUAAAUAAUAUUUAUUUAACAAAAAAAUUAUAUCAAUAUUUUUAUUAAAAAUAUUUAUUUAAUAAAUAUAUCAAAUUUUAUAAUAAUUUUUAAAAUUUUACAUGCUUAACUAAUGUGAUGAAAUUUUUUAAUCUAUUAGUUUUAAUUUUUGAUUUUAAAUUUUAUUUACUUAUUUUUAAUAAAAAAUUUCAUAAAUUUUAUCUAUAAAAAUUCAUAUAAAUCUUUCUGUUUUAGGAAAGAAUUUGUCCAAAUGCAAUCUGAAUAUAAAUGAAUGGAUAUGAGAUUUCAUUUUAUGGGGCAAAACAAACAAAAAGGAGAUGAAAAUAUCUGCAGACAAGUCGACAAUUAUUGUCAUUGAUAAAACAUGUAGAAAAGUUUUAAAUUAAAAAAAAAAGAAGAAAGAAGAACAACAACAGCAGCUAAUCGUUAAUUCCAUGCUUGUAAUACUGGAAUUGUAGCAUAUGUCAUAUGCAAAUAAGCAGUACUUCAAUCCUCAUCCAGAAAGACACUGCUAGCUUAGCCUACCAAGCGUAAUACUUCAUCUUGAUCAUUAACUUUUAUUUUGGAACAAAAGAAAUGUGUGGCUACCAUGCAUUCAGAUGAUGUGUCAGCCACUUUGUUUUUCAUCCCCUGCUUCAACAUAUUUUGCCUGCAUGUACAUAUACUGUAGCAAUUAGAAUCAAGUAAUAGACUGAAGCCUUGUUCCAUUUUUUUAACACCAUUUUGUUUUUAUAUCGAGAUGUUAUAAUGGGCAGGAAUGAAGCGGAUAGAAUAAUUUUUUUUUAAUUUUUAAAAUUUAAAAUUAUAUAUAUUUAUAUAUUUAUAUUUAAUAAAUAUUUUAAAUUUAUUUUUUAUAUUUUUAUGAAUAUUUAAUGUAUAUGAAUAGUUUUUAUAUCCAUAAUUUUUUUAAAAAAUAAAAAAUUAAUUUAAAAUUUUUUUAUGUUGUAUAUUUAAAUAAGUUUUUUAACAAAUAUAUAUUUUUUAAUAAAAAAUAUAUUAAUUUUAAUUAAUUUAAAAUAAUAAUUUAUAUCAUUUAAUAAAAAAAUUGUAUUUAUUAAAUAUAUAUAAAUAUAUAUGUAAAAUAUGAAUAUAAAACUAAUAUUAUAUUAUUUAUUUUCAUCUCUAUACUUAUAAAAAUUUAAAAUCAUAUCAAAUUCUCAUCGUCACUUUUAUAUUUAUAAUACUUAUAAUAUAAUAUAUAUUUAUAUACUUAUUUUUAUUUUAAAAAAUUAAAUAAAAAAAAAUGGACAUUCAUAUUUUUACGGUUAUUAGUACGAAGAAUAAAUGAAUUGGAUUGCGAUGAGUAUCCAAACAUUUGAUUCACUCGAUGAAUAAUUCUGUGCUCACAUGACAAGAUUCGAAUCGUUCUUUCGCCAAAUUAAAAAUGAAAAAAGGGCUAGGAUAUGCGGAGUUGCGUCUGAGGUGACCCAAAAAUUUAGGCCCAUAUAACCCAAUUUUGUUUCCAGCUUAGGGCUUAAAGCCCAUAUGGGGAUCCAGUAACUGAAUAGAAGCCCAUAACCAGUAAAUUCGUUACUUUAAACGGUCAGACGAGGGGUACUUCUCUAAUUGCAUCAAAGAAGUCUGUUUUCAGACUAUAACUGCAAGAAAGGAAGACAUUUUGAAGGAAAUCAGCAAGAAAAAAAAAAAAAAAAUAGAAACACGAUGCAAACGAUGGCACCAUCGGGGGCGAUUCGGUGGUGCGCAGUCACAUCGGCACUCGUUCUAUCUCUAUUCAUCCAACCGUCGAUCGCCAUUUACUGCGACGAAGACAAUUGUUAUGAUCUCCUAGGGUUGGAUCCCUCACUUUCACCUCUCUUCCGUCCCGAAUUUAUCUCUCUCGUGUCACUUUUUUUUAGCUUCCACUAAUUUUAACUUUACCUUGAUUUUUUCUAGGGUUUCUCAAAAUGCUAAUGCGUCGGAGAUCAAGAAAGCUUACUACAAGCUCUCUUUGAAAUAGUAAGUUUUUGUUUUUAACUUCUUCAGUCUUUUUUUUUAUUUAAUUGUUAUCUUAAAGUUGAUUUUUUUUUCUGUUUAGUCAUCCGGAUAAGAAUCCAGAUCCGGAAUCGAGAAAGCUAUUUGUGAAAAUUGCCAAUGCUUAUGAGGUAACUAUAAUCAUUUCUCUUUCUAUUGAGUUUGAGAUUUGCUGAUUUGUUUUUCCCAGUAUUACUGUGAAACCUAGUGACUUUUUGUUACCCCCUAAAUAUGAAUAAAAGGUAUUUUUUUCUUUUGUUGCAGAUUUUGAAAGAUGAAGCCACGAGGGAGCAAUAUGAUUAUGCAAUUGUGCAUCCGGAGGAGGUGAAUUUUAAGUUUUUGUUCAAGACACUUUCUUAUUUUCUAAAUGUAUUAAGAGUUGUAAUAUGUAAAAUGUGAUUUCAUGUGGCUUUGUCACUCUUGUUAUUAUCAUGGAUCAUUUGAUUUCACCUCAGUUGACCUUGUUUAUUACUCUGUAAAAUUACUGAUAAUCAUCAAAUUUCUGUUCCAUUUAGGUAUUUUACAAUACAGCUCGCUACUAUCGUGCAUAUUACGGUCACAAAACGGUGAGAAUUAUUUCAGUAUUUAUGUGGUUAUUAAGUAUUCUUUCUGGUUCAGCAUAGGGGUUCUGGAUUUACUUGUUUCUUACCAUUUCAUAUCCAUGCUUUCUAGGAUCCUCGUGCUGUCUUGGUUGGUGUUCUUCUUAUUCUUUCAGCAUUCCAAUAUCUAAAUCGGUGGACAAGGUAUAAUCAGGUGAGUUACCAUCAAGUACUGUGUAAAUGUUGUUAUUUUUGAAUGUCCAUGUCCCUUGCUGGACGUGCUGAAUAUUGGUAGAUAUUAUCACUUAGAAGACUUAACUUUUGCAAUGUGACUUCUUAGAAUAUUACAAUAGCACUUGUCAUGACUUCAAAAUAUAUACUAACCACUCAAGCUUAGCUUACUGCUUGUAACCCCUCCAAUGGAAAGUCAACUUCAAAGAUUCAACUCUACUCUCCUCUUCUCAGCAUUGUCCAAAUGCACAAAAAUGAAAAAGUUCAAUCAGCAUACUGCCAGUUAUGAUAAUAAAACAGCAUCAUAAGAGAAUUUUGCAGCAUAACUUAUAUAAGAUGUGUUACUUAUUUGACACAUAAAAAUGCUUAAGUUUCCCUUUAUUUUACUCUCUUUUUUUUCUCCUUUCCUUUUUCUGGAUUCAGGCUGUAGAUAUGGUCAAGAAAACACCUGCUUACAAAAACAGAUUGCGGGCGUUGGAACUUGAACACAAUGGAGGAACCACAAAUAAGAAGAAGAGUAACAGGCAAAUGGACAAGUAUACUGCUAUGACUUGUUUGAUUUUUUACCCAUAAAAUUAGACUCCAAUGUUGUGGUUUUGUUCGCAUUAACCACACAUAGAGCAUGGUGCACAUGCCAUCCUUUAAUCCCCUUUGUGCAUGUUUUCUUUUUAACUAAAAAACAAUGUGACCCAUAUUUUAUGGCAGGAAAAAGGAGGAAGAUCUCAGCAAAGAGCUUGAGCUGGACAUUAAGGGAGCUGAAAAGCCCUCCAUCUGGGAAUUAGUUGGUGUCCGUUUUAUUCUCCUCCCCUACACUAUUGGCAAGGUUAGAAUACCAGCUAUUAAGCUAAGAAUAACUGCGAUUUCAGGAUAAGAUGAGUGAAUACCAAAUAUGUUGGAUAUAGCUGAGUCUUUGAUUCUUCUGUUGUUGCAUUGACAAAAAAUGUUUGACUUAGAUUUCAACCUUAGUUUUCAGACUGGAAUUGCUUCCUGAUUAAAUUUCUGUCUCUCCAGCUAUUGUUGUGGCAUGGCUGUUGGUUCUGGAGGUACAACGUGAAACAAGCUCCAUAUUCUUGGGAAGAUGCGGCUUACUUGACUAGAAACUCCCUCAGAGUGCCCCUUGAUGCAUGGCUAAACAUUGGUAACUAUGAUUAAGUUCCUCAAUUUUGUAUAAAUGCAAAUACACUUUUUUAGGGAUUUAACUUUAGAUUUGAUGGCGGCCAAGAAAAAAAAAACUUGAGGUUUGAUAGAUGAUAUAAUCAUAGAAUGGCUUAUCGAGGUAGUCAUAUGUGCUGACCAACAUUGUAAUUUCUAAGUUUUUAUUGUUAUACUACCUUGUUAGAUGAAAUACUUCAUAUCAUCUAAGAUUUGCUUAUUACUGACAACUCUAUGGCUGCAACAUCAUCUUGUAGUACCUUUCCAUCAGCGGCAUGGCAUGGAUCGUUCCUUGUAAGGCUUGAGUCAAGGCUUCUGGGAGCUACCGCAUAUGCUUCUCAUAUGCUGGUAUUAUCCAUUUGUCUUCAGUUAGUAUUUUAAUUAAAUCUUGUUUGUGUUUGCUAGAUGAAUCAACCAAGGAGGAUCUUAUUCAGAGACGAUUAUGGAUUAAAUCCAACUUAGAGAGCUACCUAGCAGAAAUGCGAAAAGAAUACAAGCGCAGAAGAUAGGAAGAGUUUUUUUUUUUUUUUUUGGUCUGGAAGGUAGGAAGAUUUAUUGCUUGGUUACUAAAGAUUAUUUGCUGAAACUUAAAAAACAUACAAGAAAAUAACCAUGUUUCACUAGUAUAGAUUAUUUUGGUUACAUUUAUAAAUGAAGGCAGAGAAGACCAUUGUUGCUGAUUACCAAGUUUUGAUACGGAACAUCCAAAUCUAAUACCUGUAGCAGAGAACUGAACGUAUCAUUUUGUAUCUUUCCAUAUAUAAACUCUAGUUUUAGAUGACUUUUUUUUGUUGUCAUACAGUCAUAAUCCAGUUAUUGCUGGUCAGCGAUAUUCAUAUAUGGAUCAUGCAACUCGUAUCACUGAUGGUAAUUUUAUUCUCUUAUCAUUCUUGGCGAACCUGCUGGGAUAUCAGUUGCUUCGCACAUUCCUACUUCACAGUAAUUGUGAUUCUUGAAGUGACUGCAUUUGUUGAUUGUGAUUCUUAGCGGAAUGCAACUGGACAGGGAAUAAAUCAGCUUGCCGAAUUACGCAUGUAACGAUGCAAGUUAGACGUUAAAAGUGUUUAACCAAUUGGACCGCACCUAGCUUUGGUUUAGCUUGGAUUAAUGUUCGAAAAGAAAGGAAUAGACGAUGAGCCGAAGGGGCUUGAUUUGAUCCACGAAAUUAAAAAAUUUGAAGCACGAAGCGGUGCAAUGCCUCGUGUCACACCCCGAGCGCAUACCCGUACGCACGAUUUGUUAGGCUUAAAUCCCCGGUCUAAGCCCAUGACAGUUGGACUCUAUAGUAGUACUUCUAAUCUUCGUAAUGUUGAUAAAACGCAGCGUCGUAUCGCAUCCCAUCAGAUCUUCUCCCACCAGAGCGAAAACUGGCGACGCCCAUCAGUGCGCAAAUUCUAAAACUAAAGCUUUUAUUCUCUCCUUUACUUUACGAAUCCCGAUUUUACAUUUCCAUCUCCAUCACUCCGGUCCCUUCUUUCCAAUUUCAUGCACCAUACGCCACUUCCUCACCCAUGCCUCGCUCUCAGGUUGGUACUCUUUAAAAAAUUUUCUUUCUUUUUUUAUUUAAAUUUCAUCGCUUAUGGUCCAUUUUAUUUGUUGACAGAUUGGAUGCUUGGUUCAUGUAAAUAAGAAUGUUGAAGAAGCCACUUCACUCCCCAAGAUCUCACUCUUUUAUGGCCCCAAUUUUAUCGGCCGCAAUGAUGUUUCUAUUCCCGAUAAGAGACUCAGCCGCAAACAGAUUGCUUUAACUACCUCCCCUGACGGCUCCGCAGAUUUACUCGUCGUAAAUUCCAUUAUUUUAUUAGUAAUUUCUUUUUUUUUUUUCCUUUCUCUCUCUUUUGUAGAUCGAUUGUUUAGUGGUGGAAUUUUAUAGGAGGGGACAAAUCCAGUGGUUGUUAGGGGGAUGUUAUUCUUGCAGUCCUCUCAAAUUACAUGGUAGAUGUUGAUUGGUUAAUGUCAGGUGAAUUCUCAUAACUUGUAUGAUUUCAUCUGUUAUUUAGUUCCUCAAGUAACAUGGUGCAAGGACUUUUGAUUAUGUUGUCUGCUAUUCUUUUAUGUGCAUAUCAUUUUGGUGUAGCUCUUGUUGUUUGAUUACGAAACCUGUUUUUUUUCUUUUUUUUAUACUGCUUUGAUGCAUCUAAAACCGUUAUUUCUACCUCUUGCCUUAUGUAGCAUGUCUGAAACUUGCAAAAAUUCCCCAUGUAUUUGUUAUUCAUGGGGAGGGUGACAGCAGGCUGGAUCAUAUGAAGGUCAGCUACAGAUGUACAUAUUCCCUUUUUUCUAUGGAAGCUCUACUUAUAGCUUGUGGAUUUUCACAUUAUCUACUGCUGCUCAUACAGAGAACAAGCCUUCCAAUUGGAUUCUGCACAAGCCACCUUUACCCAUUUCAUUUGGGACACAUCAUUCGAAGGCGAUGCUCCUUGUCUAUCCUCAAGGAGUGAGGGUUACUGUUCAUACAGCAAACUUGAUAUAUGUUGACUGGAAUAAUAAAAGUCAAGGUUUAUGGAUGCAAGAUUUCCCUUGGAAAGAUCAGAAUAACUCAAAGAAAGGAUGUGGAUUAGAAAAUGACUUGUUUGACUAUCUCAGCACAUUGAAGGUACCAAAAUUUAGUACGUUCUGCGGAUCUGCUCUUAAAUUGCAUGUGAAAAACACUUGCAUCUUUCAUGACCUGUUCAGAGAAUUUAAAACUUUCUCCCUUUCAUAAAAGUUUUAUGUGAUUUGAACUGAACCUUAGAUAUUAUAAGGGACAACAGCCAAUCAUUCUUUUCAUAUGUUUGGUUUACUAAUCAAGCUUACUAAUAACUGUUUCAUAUGCCUUUGAUUUCUGAAAUUUUUACCGUGGCCUGAGUUCACUGCUAAUUUACCAGCUUUGGGAAGCUUCAACAUCAAUUCCUCCUUCUUCAAGAAGUUUGAUUAUAGCAAUGCAAGGGUAUAAUUUUAGUUGUUUGGUUAAUAUUUUGAAGUGUUAUUUCAUAUUUACCUGGAGGAAUAAUGUUACAGAUGGAACCCAUUUUGUUUCUAGCUCAUACUUAUGUGGGAGCAUAUAAAUAUUUGAUAAUUUUCAGAUCCAACUAAUUGCAUCUGUCCCUGGAUAUCAUACAGGUUCCAAUCUGAAAAAUUAGGGACAUAUGAAGCUGCGUACUGUUCUUCAUGAGUGUGUUUUCAAUAGUUUCAGAGAUCGCCUCUAGUUUAUCAGGUAUUGUUGGACAUCUAGUCAUGAAUAAUCAUGCUGUGAUUUAGGGUGAAUAUUAGUCACUCAGUUCUCUGAGGGAUUUGGUGACAGAUUUAAAUGAAAUUUCGAUUAAUUAUUGGACUUUAUUUUCUAUGAUAUGUCCCCUCAUGUGAGGUUCUGCACUUGGUCAUACCAUUCAUAUCUUCUGUACCAAUCUUUCUGUAUAGAUUAAGAGAAGUGGUUGUAUAGAUUUUGCUUUCACUGAUGGAACUUUUUCAUGUUUGACCUACUGUAGUUCUCCUCCCUUGGUUUAUUGGACGAGAUAUGGAUGGUCGAGCUAGCAUCCUCAAUGUCAUCAGGUUACUCAGAAGAUAAAACCCCGCUUGGUUUGGGGGGGCCAUCAAUAAUAUGGCCCAGUGUGGAAGAUGUCAGAUGCUCCUUAGAGGUAUUAUCAAGUAGGUUUUUCCUGUUAGCCUCUUAUCCUUACCAUCAUUAACAUAUUGCAUAGUCAUCCUCUGACUACUGUCGGUUAUGAACUUAUUUUUGCAUCCCAUCUAUUGCCUAAUGGCUCUUUAAAUGCAUAUAAUCAGUUCGGUGUAAAACCAAUUCACUCCAAAAAACCUUUUGUCCUCUCCAACUUGAUUUUGGUGGCUUGGUGCUCUAUAAUUUUAAGAGAUUAGCGACUACUGUUAAUGCCAUCCCAAAUGAUAAACUGCAUGUUUCUCAGUGUUAGCAUUAUCUUUUAGGCCUUAAACUAACUUGUUAGUGGUACGAGUAGAUAUUGAAUUAAAACAGUAUUUUUUAUCAAGUAAAGUUCGUUUUAUAUAUGUUAUUCUACCUUGUUCUAUAGGGUUAUGCAGCUGGAAAUGCGAUUCCAAGUCCACUUAAGAAUGUGGAAAAAGGAUUCUUGAAAAAGUAUUGGGCAAAGUGGAAGGCAAGCCAUACUGGUCGCUGGUAUAUCUCUUUAAUACCUGGUGAAAGUUUGAGCUACAAAAUAUCAAUUAGCAAUGUGUGGGUCUUAAGAUUUUGUUUUUGGUGUUUCAGUCGUGCAAGGCCACAUAUCAAGACAUACACCCACUACAAGAGACAAAAACUGGCGUAAGAAUUCAUUUGAGCCUAUAUAUCAUGCUUUUGGAAGCUUUUAAUUUUGAACAUUUGGAUUUUCUCCACUACACCUUCCCCCCCCCCCCCCCCAAUCAAGAAAAAGAGGGUGGGGUUCCCUUCUCUCAUGCUGGUUUCUGAAACUUUCUUCCCUGGAUGCAGUUGGUUCUUGUUAACUUCAGCAAAUCUUAGCAAAGCUGCGUGGGGAGCUCUUCAGAAGAACAAUUCUCAGUUGAUGAUCCGUUCUUUUGAGGUAUAUACAUCUGACUUCAUGUCUGAAAGCUCAGCUAAGAUUUAUAUGUCAUUGAGUAGAUAAUGAAACCAAAACCAAUGGAAAGCACUGCAUGUCCCAAGCUUUCAAGAAUGUAGAUAUUCAACAAAUGAAUGCCUACAUUUGUUUUUAGUUUUUUACUUUUUGUAUGAUCUUCUCAUUGUUUGAUCCUCCCUGUCUUUUGUGCUAACUAAGCAUUGAUGGUAUGUUUUUAUGCCUUUCUAUAAAUACUUUCUAGCUGGGUGUGCUGUUUUUACCCUCUUAUGUCAAAGAAGAGAGUGGCGAGUUUUCUUGUACGGGUGAUGGAGGUUCAUCAAAUGUAAUGGCUACUUCUGAUUCAAUAGCAUUUAUCUAAUGUUGGCUGAAUUAGCUGGGAAAAUAAUGUGAUGAUGAAAAAGUCGUAGCCGUUGUGUGAAUCAGGCUAUUUCUAAUAGGAAAUUCUGAAGUAACAAAAACGAAGUUAGUUACUCUUGCUUGGGAAGGAAGCAAGACAUCUAAAGUGAUUCCGUUGCCUGUGCCAUAUGAACUUCCUACUGAGCCAUACUCCUCUGAAGGUCAUGAAGCUUUAGUCUAUCUUGCGCCUUCAAUUUAUAUAAACUGAAUUUCACGAUUCAUCUAACUUUUUUCUAUCUUAUUUGCGGAUGUCCCAUGGUGUUGGGACCGGAGAUACAAUAAAAAGGAUGUUUACGGUCAAGUUUGGCCUCGGCAAGGUCAAUUGUAGUGUUUUUAGAGUGAACUUGGUUGCGGCAUUUGGAAAAGUGAUUUCAUUUCAAAUAAGAUUUUUAAAAAUUUAAAAAUGAAUUUACUUGUUUGGGUAAAAAUAAGAGAUAAAUUUUAAAUUUAGAUGAAAUUUUAAUAGAGAAUUUGAGGUACUAAAAUUUUCUUUUGAAAGGUUAUCAGAAAAUUUAAAAAAAAAAGAAAUUGAAGGUGAUAUGAUUUAAAAUUUUAAUAAAAGUCAUAUUAGUAUAAUAAAAUUAAAAAUAUAUUUUUUGUAUUGAUACAAAUUAUAAUAUAUAGUACUUGAAUAAAAUAUGAAACAAGCAUACGAAUUAUUAAGAUAUUAUAUAAUAUAAAGAGAAAAAUUUUUAGGUCUACUAAGAAGUUUUUAAAAAAUCUUCUUAAUCUUUCGACUUUUGUUGCACAUGACUCGGUACAAAACUCAAAAAGACAAAAUAUCAUUUUAUUUGACUUUAAUAUAUAUAUUUAUUUGUUUAUAUUAUUAAUAAUAUUUAUAUAUUUAUACAAUUCUAAUGAUAUUUAUAUUGUAUAUUUUAUUUAUACAUAUAUUUUUUAUUUUUAAUAGUAUUAUUUUUUUUAUAAUUAAUUUUUUAUCUCAUCAAAUUUCAAUGGUUAAAUUAUUUUUCAAAAAAUAUAUAUCCAAACAAAAUAACAACAAAUUUAAGCAUUUUUAAAUGAUGUAUUUUAAAAUGUUUUUGUUUUAAAUUUCUGUAAAACUUCAAAAUUUUUUACACCAACAAAUACUUCAAAGAAUCUUGAUUUUUUUAUGUUGCAUUUUGCAUAUGGUAAAUCCUAAAAUCCUAAAAUUUACAAGAUUUUGAUAUGAUAUUAUUAUUACGAAUUAAUACUCAAGUUAAAUGAGGAUAUAUUAAUAAGACAUGGUAUCAACAUUAAUUGAAAUUAUUCUUAGUAAUUCAGUCUUCAAAAAAUUUAUGAUUAUUUUUUAAAAUAAAUAAAAAUUAUGAUUAUUACGAUACCAUGACCAUAUCAAAGUUUCGUGAUUGUUUCUCUAGAAACAAGGCCAUGUAUAAUAUAAUGUUAUAGUCCCUAGAUUUUACAAACAAGAUUCUUUAUUAUUGAACGACAUCAUCCAUUUUGCUAACCAUAUGCUUUAAGCAAAGAACAAAAAAAGUGGUGACAAUAACCUCAAUCUCUCUAAUCAAAGUAAUCAAGGAGUCAUAAUAAUAAUCAAAGAUUUAGUAGAAAAAUCCGCCAAUAGUGAUUACAAUCAGCUUGGACUUUAAAAAGAAAAUCCGAUUCUUUUUUAAGAGCGUAUCACAUUUUUAAAUCUUUCAAUAUCUAGAGAAACAAAUGACUAGUCACCAUCUAAAUCGGCCUCACAGUUAGAAUAUAUCGGAUAUGGCUGUUGAUAGCAACAAAUUAUUUUCAUAAAUCAACCUCCUCCAAAUACACUCUCUCACAAAAACAAAGGAAAAAAAAAAAAAAAAAAACCAUCGAUCCCCAACCUUAAUUUCACCUUCAAGUCUUCCAUCUUUUCAAAUGGAUGUCAUCUUUGAAACCCAGAAAGACAGGCCUUUUUCCAUUGAAGUUGGUUUCUUUGAUACUGUCCUGGAAAUCAAAGAAAAGGUACAGAAAUACCAGGGAAUACCUAUACCUAGCCAAACUCUUGUCUUCAAUGGCCAAGUUCUCCAAGAUGAGCGAGAUGUUAAGUUUUGUGAAAUCCUCCAAAACUCCCGCAUUCAAAUCCUCGUAGCCCCCGAACCCGAUAAACCUCAAGCUAAUAUUGAACAAUCUUCCCCAUCCAAGAAAAUCCAACUCAACAUCAAUAUACCAUCCUCCUCCAAAGCCUCCGUUCCUCUUGAAAUGGAUGUGAACGACACUGUUUUAAGAUUAAAAGAAAAGAUUCAUGAGAUGGAACCUGUUCCUGUCAACAGGUUAGUAGUUCAAUCGAGCGGCUCAGAGUUACAAGACCAUCGAUCAUUACGCGACUAUGAGCUAAUGGAUAAUAGUGAGAUUGAUGUAAAUAUUAAGCCAUCGCCAACAGGUUCUGGGACAGGAUCAGCAGGGGCGGCAACAACGGGUUCCAAAAGGCUGAAGCUGAUGGUGUUGACCACGUGUGGGACGAAGAAGAUACCGGUUGAAGUGAAUGCAUCAGAUAAUGUGGGAGAGCUGAGAAAAGAACUGCAGAAGUUGCACCAAAGGCUUCAAUUUCAUCUCCCGCAAGAAGGUUAUUUUUUCAUAUAUAAACAGAAUGUGAUGGACGAUGAUCGAUCGUUUAGGUGGCACCAAGUUGCCCAAGGUGAGACAAUUGAGAUCUUUAAUGGAAGUGUUACUGGAGGAUCAUGAAACUUUUUCAUGUUUUCUUUGUUAAUUAGUCCUAGAAUUUUCAAUGCUAUUUUAACCUAGCUAUAACAUCUGCGGUACUUAUUAAGGCCUUUUUAAUUCUCUUUGUUGAAAUUUUGUAGCACUAUGGGCCUAAGGCAAGAUGUUAUCCGUAAUUUUAUCCCUCCUUCCUUAUAUUUAUUUUAAAUCUUAAUGUUAUGUUAGGUGUACAAGAUAAUAGAUAAAAUAGUAUAAUAAUUAUUUUAUAUUAUAUUUGAUUUAUAUUUAAUUAAAAAAUAUGAUUAUAAGAAAGAUUAUAUCCUUUUUGGUAUAAGAUAAUUUCAUCCUUUUAAAGUGAAGAGGACUAUUUUUAAUUUAUAGAAUUAAACAUAGAUGUUUUAUUAUAUAUUUAAAAAUUACAUUAAUAAUUUAAUUUUUAUAAACCUUAAAAAAAAUAAUUUUAACUAAUAAAUAAAUUAUGUAUCUUAAUCUUUGCACGCAUCAAACAUAAGAUAACAUAACAUUAUUUAAUUUAAUCAUAUUAAUAAUAUUAUUUUAUUCUAUCUUAUCAUAAUUUUGUAUGUCAAACAUGACUUAAAUUGAUAAUAGAGACCGGAAAUGAUAAAAUUUUCAUCAAAACAGAUAUUUGCCAAUGAAUAAAAAGCACAAUUAUCACUAAAGUAGCAUUGACAUAAUUAGUAAUUACAAAAUUUUCUCAUAUUUUAAAAAUUAAAAAAUCACUCUCUAAUUUUUGAGCAACCAAAAAGUGCGUAAAAGAAUUGAUACCACUGGCAUGGGCAAGCAGUUUAUAACAUGAAAUGAGAAAUGUGAAAUAAUAUAUUUUGCUCCUUUUCAUCCACUGCCAAAUCUUUAUUUUAUUUCUAAUGUGGACUUCAAACUUGUUUGCCCAAACCGGAAAAGGGACUGAUUGAGAUUCGUUUGGCUAAAACCACAUAAAUCGGAUGUGGGUCGGGGUUUGGAAAACAGCCUGUAAUUUAGGUCCAAAUGGAGAUGUGUACCUCAAAUCUAGUUUAAAACCCAAUCCAUUAGCAAACAUGGGCAUCAAGUAAAAUCAAGAGCCCAAAAUUUGACCAUUAGCCCAUAAAACUUUGUUCUUUAUUUAACAUUUUUAUAGUUUUUUUUUUUUUCUCUUAUCAGUUAUUGUAACUAAAUCAGAGGUCAAGGGACAGUAGAAAGCAAACAAAAUUUCUUUGGAUUUUGCUCUUACUGCACUUGUCAAGGCUAAUUAAACUAUUAUUUAUAGUAAUAUUUUGUAAUAGUUGAUGAUUAAAAGAAAGAGGGUUUUGGAAACGGAAACUCUUUAAAAUUAUCGUAUUGGGUAAAAAUUUGAUAUAUUAAACAUUACUUAAAAAUUUCUUUUUGGGACGGUUCAAUGAAUAUGAGACGCAGUAAGAGCCUCACGUUUAAAAAUUGAUCCUUAAAUUUGUUGGAAACAACUUUGCUCCACCGACUCACAUUAUUAUAAUCCUGAAAUACCGCCCAAGUUGCAAAUAAAAAUAAAAUCCCUGUGGGCCCAACGACAAUGACUACCCCAGGCCCAUUUAAUUCCAACGGGACGGAUUCCGUCAAUAACGACGCUCCACCCUCCCUGUCCGUCCGUCAUUCGUCCCAUCAACCAAAGACGGUCAACUAACACCGUUAAACAAAAAGACUAACGGCAGUGAGCCCCACCGCUUUACCCUAUCAUUCUAGAAUUCCUAAUUCCUCUGCCCACUGAAUAAACAAUCGUUACCGUGUCAAUUACGGCAAAAGCCACCUCAGUCUUACGCGUUAAAAUUUCAUUGGCUCGUCACUGCAGGAGUUUUCCUAUAAAUUAAUCCCUCCAAACGCUUUCUUUUCGCAUCCCAAGCGAUUUGAUUUAUUUGGUUUUAUUCUCAUCGAUUUUCUCUUCAGGCGAUCAAGAUGCAGAUCUUCGUCAAAACACUCACCGGUAAGACGAUCACCCUCGAAGUGGAGAGUUCCGACACGAUCGAUAACGUGAAGGCGAAAAUUCAAGACAAGGAAGGAAUACCACCAGACCAGCAGCGUCUCAUCUUCGCCGGAAAACAGCUCGAAGACGGCCGAACCUUGGCCGAUUACAACAUUCAAAAGGAGUCAACUCUCCACCUCGUCCUCCGUCUACGUGGCGGUAUGCAAAUCUUCGUCAAAACCCUAACUGGGAAAACAAUAACCUUGGAAGUCGAAAGCUCUGACACAAUCGACAACGUCAAGGCGAAGAUCCAAGACAAAGAAGGAAUUCCACCAGACCAGCAGAGG